rnacentral:lncRNA from 1 species
UUUGACGUGGUCGUAAUGGCCAUGAUCCAUACCGUCUAUGCGAGGAGGAAGAAGAAAUAUUGAGAGACCAAUAUCCAUACCUCACAGCAGUUGGAGCACUUUUGUAUUUAGCUACAUCUACAAGACCAGAUAUUGCAUUUGCAGUUAGUGUUCUUGCAAGAUAUAGUGCACGUCCAAUACUACGACAUUGGAAUGGCAUCAAAAAUUUAUUAUGUUAUUUAAAAGGUAUUGAAGACUUGGGAUUAUAUUACACAAAAUCUGUAGAUCCAAAAUUGGUUGGAUAUUGUGAUGCAGGAUAUAAAUCUGAUAUUGCAACAGCUAAAUCUCAAAUAGGAUAUGUAUUUUUAAGACAUGGAGUUGCAAUAUCAUGGAAAUCAGUGAAACAAACAAUAACUGCAACUUCAUCCAACCAUGCAGAAAUUAUUGCCUUACAUGAAGCAUCUCAAGAAUGUAUUUGGUUGUGAUCAAUUGAUAAAUUCAUUCAAACAACCUGUGGAUUUUCAUAUGAUGAUUCUCUAACUAUCUUGCAUGAAAAUAAUAGUAUUUGCAUUGCAUAGAUGCAAGUUGGUUUCAUUAAAGGUGACAAGACAAAGCAUAUUGAUCCAAAGUAUUUUAGUUAUACUCAUGACUUAAUUACUGAUCAAGCACUUAUAAUUAAGAAAAUUGAAUCUACAAAUAACCUUGCUGAUCUCUUCACCAAAGCUCUUCCAUUAAGCAACCAUCGUCGACUUACUUAUGGCAUUGCUAUGUAGCGACUUACUUUUCUUGAAUAAGAAAGUUAAUGAGCUCUUUAAAUAAUUAAAGAAAAUGAUGUUGUACUCUUUUUCCUUCAUCUAUGGUUUUGUCCUUAAAUAAAAUAAGGUUUUCCUAGAUAAGGUUUUAAUGAGGCAACAAUUCUUGAUCUUGCAAGAUCACAGAAAAGUAUAGAUCAUAAUUCUAUACCAAUUUUAUAUUAUGUAAAUAUUAUGAUGAGCAAAGAGGAGUGUUGAGAUUAUUAAAUAUAGCCGACGCUCUCCAUAAUAUUUACUAUAGACUAUAGUAAUUACCAUAGCUACAGUAUUUAGAGUCUAGUGGAGAAGUAUUGUUUAUCCUCUUCUUUUUUCUCUUCUUGUAUACUAUAGUAAUUACCAUAGCUACAGUAUUUAGAGUCUAGUGGAGAAGUAUUGUUUAUCCUCUUCUUUUUUCUCUUCUUGUAUACGAGACACAAACAAAUCAAUAGAUGUGUGUGUGUGAAGCUCUCUCUCCUUAGAAACCCUCUUGUAUGUAUGACUUACUACUACUCUUGUGUGUGUAUGACUUAUUAUUACUCUUGUGUCUUUCUAAACAUUCUCAACAGAGACCAAAGCAAUUGCAGAAGGAAUUAAGGAAGCCAUCUGGCUUUGCACAAUGCUGCAUCAAAUCACAGGCUAAGAUGCUAAACCCAUCACUAUCUAUCUACUGCAACAAUUAAAGCUCUAUAAAAUCAGCAAAGAAUCUAGUAAGUCAAGCCCGCUCAAAUCAUGUAGAAGUUUGGCGACACUUUGUAAGGGAAAACGUCGUCACAGGCAUAGUGAAUCUCGCCUGCCUAGCAACUAAUAAUCAAGUGGCCGAUCUCCUCACAUAAGCUCUCGGUCGCCUAAAAUUUCUUCAAUUUUGUGAUCAGAUUGGAAUACUGAGUCUUAUAGACUUUGAGAACUUCUGAAUUGAAUUUUCCCUCAUACGCUAGAGAAGAUGUCCUCUUCACAAAGUGACUCACAAAGCAUAGGACACAAUAUUUGAUUGGAAGAACAACCAAUAUGAACAAUGAGCGUCAGUCUAGAAUCCGUAGAUGCUGAGUUUUAAAAUUUAAUCUUGCUGCUAUCGACUUGCACUCUUCACCUGCCAGUAAAGCUGCUCGUAGAUAACCGCAAUAAUCAAUCCUAACGUCUUAAAGUCCCUGCCACUCAACUGUGCUAGCAACAUACGAUCUCCAACGCCUAUUGAUUACUUGAAAAACGCCACAAGAGAAACGGACAAGCAGGAAAAUUCAAUUUUGGCCACAAAAACUCUUCAAUCACCAUAUCUAGAGCAUGUGAAAACAGACUCAAUUCACUAUCGCAAAAGUAGUAGCCAUUCACUCGUAGAUUUGUUGAAGCAAAAACCUUGCGCUAGCUCAUCGACUGAAGCAGCUCACCUCCAAUAACUGCGCCAACUCUGUCCAAAAUAUGUUGCGCAAGCAAGAAUAUAGACCAUAGAAGUAAUAAAAAGGACUCCCACUGUCUGCAAGCAUAGACGAUUAGUCAUAUUUCAAGAUUCUAUUCCUCGCCUAAAGGACACAAAUGAGACACAACACUCACCACAAAGAGUCGAUCUCCAAUCUCUUGAGUAAGAAACAUCAUGGGAAGGUUGCAUUACUAACGUCCACACCUACAGGAGGGACAACCAACCUCAGGCAUUACAAAACACUUCCAAAGAAAUUGAAAAUCAUAGAUAGGGAGGGCUCCAGCGUAGAAAAGUAAAGAGACUCCCUAUUCCAAAAACAAGUCACCGAUGCUCGAGGUGAGGGAAGCUGUUGGAACACUUUCACCUCGAGGUAAUUGUCCACUGGAUAAACCGUGAUUGGUAACCACCUGGCCAGACUAUAAAGUCAUCCCGUAUCAAGUAUAAGUAAGAUUGUAUGAGGUCUCUCACUCUCUCUCUCUCUGUAUGUCCACUUCUGUGCGAUGUAAUGUUCUCACCCUUUUAUAUUUAUCUCAGCUUAUUCUAUUCUAUCGGUGGGUCCUUUACUUUGAGAUCAUACUUGGUUAGAACCCAUUAACUCAACAUGGCUUUCGUCUUCAACUUGGCAGAGUGAGGCAAAGAUUGAAGCAAGUCAUGAAUAUUAAUCACAGAGACUUUCAGGUACACUAUCUUUGGUGCCAGAGUAACAAAAAUAUUUAUGUCAUUGGAUGUGCCGAAUCAGGAGAAAACUUUUCGGCAGUGAGCUGAAAUAGCUGACUUGGGUCACGGCUGAUAGCAUUUAUGCUGGCUUUGAAAGUGAGUUCAUGCCUUUCCUCUCCGACAAAUCAUACUUGCAGUUAAUUAUUCAGACAUAGGAAGCAGAAAAUGACAAUGCUUGGAUUAAAUGUUUCUGUGGUAGGUCCAAGAAAUCUGCAUGUUGGGCUGAUUAAUAGAAAAUUAACAGAUGUUUGAAAUAGCUGUGGUCGAGAAGAAGCCGGUAUUUAUAUUUGGAUGUUGGUAUAAAACCCUUCUAUACCAAACACAACCAAUCGUGGUCGUGAAGGUGUAGGGUAGAGAACGUGCACAAGCAUCUAGUACAAGCAUAGUUAACAAUAACAACUUACAAGAUGUAUCAUGUAAAAUAUAUACAAUUUUAAUAAUGACAAAUAAUAAUCAAAUAAACCUCAUUCUCAAUCUCAAAAUCUAAAAUAUAAAUAUAAUUAUAAACACAGCAUAAAAAUUCCAAAAUACACACCAAGGAAUAGAAAAGAAGUUAGAUUUGGUUGUAACAUUGACACCCUUCUUUGAGGAUGGAAACAUCAAAAAUUCAUGUUCUCCUUCUUUGAAGGUUGAUAUUAUGGAUAGGGAGUAGAUGCUUACAUUAUACAUUUAUCAAAUAUUUCACAAUAUCUAUCACAUUUAAUAAACUCUUUUAAAGUAUAUUUUUGAUCCUUAAGGAAUGAAGAAAAAAUGUGUAAAACUAUUCAAGAAAGAACCAAAGUAGAGAAGAAAGAAAAUUAUUACAUAUAUUUUAUAAAUUGUUAUCAUUGUGAUAACAUAUUAUUAAUAUAUACUAGGAUCAUCAAAAGAUGCAACUCUAUAUUUACUCUACAAUCAUCACUCUUGCUUAUCUAACUAGAUGCAAGCUAAUAAUUUGACUUGAUAAAUUAAUAUUAUAUAUAUAUAUAUGAAUGAGGAAUCAAUCUUACAAAACUAAUCUUACUUCAAUAAAAAUUUAGCUAUUUCAAUUUAAAAUUGAAUAGUGCUAAAAGUGCAUAUUACAUAUUAAGAUCCUAUAAAUCUUUCUCUAAUUUUGAGCACUAAUGGUUGUUGUUUACAUGCAAUUGUAAUCAAGGAGUUAAUUUCUACAAUACUUGUUGUAUCACUCUACUUUAAUAUUGUCUUAAGACCUUUAAAUUAUAGUAGUAUAUCAAAGAAUAUAUAUUUUCUACAAAAAUAUGAUAAGAAUUUAUUAUAAUGCAUUGCAAUUACAAACCAUUGAAAUCAAUGGUUAGUUUUAUAGACUUAUUUAAUUACAAAUCUACUUGAAUACAACAAAACACACAUAUUUAUUAAAUAUUCAUACAAGUUACCAACAAUUGAUCAAAUUGUAUCUUUGGAUCUUUUUUAAAGAAAAAUUAUAAUUUAUAACUAUAUAUUUUAAUUUAGGCUAAUUAUAAAUAGCAUUUUAUUUCAAAUACUUUUUUUUAUUAAGCCAAUAAAAAAUUUCUAUUGUAGAAAAUAUAAUUUCUAAUUAUGGAUUAAAUAAGAAAAUUGGUAAUGUUCAAAUGCAUCAAAAUAAUUUGGCAUAUACCAAAAUAAUUCAAUUACAGCUAAAUCAUAAUUGCAAAAAAAUCAUAGCCAUCUAUACUCAAACCACAGAGACACAAGUCAAGUCUACUAAAGCAAGAUUUAGAUUGUGUCAACAUGAUCAAAAAGUAAGAGUAAGAUUAAUUAAAUUAAAAUAUCUUAUAUAUUAUAACAUCCAUCAUAAUACCAUGGUCAAAGUCAAAGUUACAACACCACAAUAGCUCUAGGAUUCUAUUUCAUGUUUUUCUUUGUACUUUGGUAAAAACUAACUUUAGUAGAUUUUUUAAAAGAACAACAAAAUUCUCAAUGCCUCAAUGGAUACUAAUGUGGCUCUAAUCAAAAGGCUCAAAGGUGACAUAAUUUAUUGUCAACUAAUUUUCUUGAAAACAUUUCCACUCGUCCAUCUUAUUGGCUUCAUGUCCACAAUUGUAUAUGCUUUCUAAUAUCUAUAAUACUUUCAUAUUUUUAAUGUUUCCUUAUCAAAGUUCAUAGAUUGUUUAGAUUGCAAAGGUCUUAUUAAGUUCUAAUAUUGAUCUACAUAAUUCAAACUUUAUUUUGAUAUUAUAUUGUUUGUAAAUCUCAAAGUUCAUAGUAUUUUAAAAACACAUAAAAAGCAUAAUUUAGAAAAUUAAUGAUUUAAAGAAUAAUAAAUGAUUACAAAACAUUAGAAUGAUGUUUUUUACAGUAUGUAGUUUCAAAGCUUCUUGUUACAAUUGUAUACAAACUACAAGUAAGAAGGUUGUGAAUGGUUGUAUGAAUAUAGCUUUUAAAUUACCUUACUAAAGUUGGAAUAAAAUCCUAAGAAAAAAAAUUAAUGAUUUUAUUUUUAAAAAAUAUAUAUUUGAAACAAUAUUGGAAACUAUAAUAAUAAUCAUUUCAGAGCCAUAAAUUCUAUACAAAGUUUUUUAGAGCUCUCAUAUCUUAUUUAUGUCAGUAGAACUAUUUAUAAAAAUGUUGAAUAUAUGUAUUUUUUGAUUGUAUAUUUAUAUACAUAUAUACAUAUAAAUACCUUGUUAAGAUAAAAUCUUGCAAUACAAUUAAUGCUAAUUAAUAGAAGUAAAGUAUUAAAUAAUAAUAAUCUUACAAAUAUAUUAUGAUGCACACAUAUAUUAUGAUGCACACAUAUAUUAUGAUGCACACAUAUAUUAUGAUGCACACAUAUAUUAUGAUUACACAUAUAUUAUGAUGCACACAGUAGUUACAGUUUGUUUACAACAUUUAGCCAUAUUAAAUUAUUAAUCUAAAAGAUAAAUAUAUAUAUAUAUAUAUAUAUAUAUAUAAAAGCAAAAUCAUUUCAACGAAUAAUUUUUAUAAAUAGUAUUGAUUAAUUCAAUUUCUAAUUGCAAAACCUUAUGCCUAAUUCUUAAAUGGCAUUGAUAAAGACUUAUAUGUUGUGAUAUUUUGGCAGGGAAAGCACCAUACAUUAUCUCAACCAUUUAAACAGCAUCACUCUAAUUGCACUGCAAUGUAAUUCAAUGGCAGCAUAAAUACAAACAACAUUCCUUAAUAGCAUCCGAAAAUAUUCCCAAAAUUCCCUGUAAAACGCAGCACUCAAUCUUCAACCCCGCUUUCUUCGUCACGAUUCAGAAUAAAAAUUAACAAGUCCAAAGACGCAAAUUCAAAAAAGGAUCAUUUCAUUAACAAUAAUAUAUAUUUUUAAAUAAAAUGGAACAAAAGGACACAAGCACACACCUCAAAAACACUAUAAAAACAACGCGGCGCCUUGUGUGGGGGUGUAUGGAGCGCAUCGGAAAGAAUGCAAAGCUGGAGGUCAUCCUAAGUUCAAACUACUUUCUGUCUACGAACCCAUUGUACAAAUUAUAUAUGAGGUGGGUGCUGAGGAGCCACAAUGGACGAUAGGAAUUGGGUGUUGAGGCCCCAGAAUACCUGCAACCUCGGCGUUGAAAAGACUUCUUCUUCUUCUUCUUCAUCGAUCCCGUACCAAAACAACACAACACGCUAGAAGCUAGAGGAUUCCAGCAGAAUGCGUCUAGUAACUCCCAAUCACACAAGUCUCCAUCGAACUGGAGAUAUAUUCUUGCUUCUGUGCUUGUCUUGUUCAUUCCUUGGCACUUUUUUAUCACCGUUUCGCAGAGCUCCGGAACAUUCCUUGGUCACCCAGGUCCUCGAACACACAACUAGGAUUCUCAUCUUCGUCGAGGGUCAAGAGUUUGGUACUCUCAGAAAUCUCUGCGUUCAUGUGCAGGAUUUACUCGCAACAAUCCAUACUGGUCAUUUGUUGCCAGAAAAUAAUUACCCCCUUGAGUCGUCCAUACUCUCUCUGCAUCGGUUGGCAAGUUGAAACGGCGACUAGAGCCCUGCAACCUGGCUGAAGCAGCGUCAUGCGACGGAUAAAAAUGAGAAUCGUUACUUGUAGCUGAGUUUGUUUCGGACGUCGAACUUGGAGAGGGUUUCCUGGGCAGCGAGAGUGUCCGGAUGCUCGGGUCCAAGCAUGAUGUGUCGGAUACUGAUACAAGUGCGACAGAGCUCCUGUCCAGCGUCGUAUUGGGCACCUCGCAGCAUGAGCUUCGCUCGCGCUUCUAGCAGGAGGGCUUUUAGGAGGGUCAGGUCUUGCCAUACGUACUCGUCCACCUGAGGGUAGAAGUUGAAGAGGGUCAGCUCAGGACACGCGUGAAUCAGAAACCAAUGUUCUAGCUAUGUAGGGUGCGAUCUCGAAGUGCCCAAGACAUGGAGUAGUGUUUUUCAGAAUUGUUGAAUUGCAAGACUGACACGUAUAGGCUCUUAAUAUACUACCAAAAAAUGUCAUGAAGAUUGCAGUGGAUGCAGCCGUACCUGAUGCAAUGAACUAUUGCGGCUACACCCCCAGCACCGGGACCGAUCCCACCCAUCCUGAAUCUGUGAAACGUAUAGUUUCUCAACGUCCUCCAACAUCACGUAACACAAGCGCAAUAUCUCCAAUGCAGCUGUGCAGCGCGAGAAAUUGUUGAAGGCACGAAUUGCCAAUGGCAUUACAAGGCGCCUUGUUAAGUCAAGGAGUUCUGGCACUUGGAAUUCUAAGACCACUGGUUCAUUGCUCAACCGACAUAUUAAGUGAGUUGCGGCCCAGAAGAGAUUAUAAUGGUGUAAAAGAUGGCCGCUCUUUCGAAUGGCAUACACGAAGGACCGAGCCGCUGCUGCGCCUCCCCGUUUCUGACAAUAAACCUGCCAAAUCACCUCGAAAUAAGCCUUUCCAGUAUCUAAGCGUGGUAAAUUAUCAAACUACCAAAAUCAAACGCUAUGCACUUGAAGGCAUUUGGAAUUCAACCCCUAAAGCUUGUGAGCAUGAAGUCGAGAGGAAGCCGCACCUGGAUUAUAUCUGGGAAGUAGAGGCAAUCGGGACGCACAGAGGCGCGAGCGAGACCGAGUCUGGUCAAGAGGUUUUUGGAGUCAGCCUCACCGCGUGUGCUAGUUUUAGACAUCCAGCUGCUAAACAUGUUUCUGGUCCGCCCACCGAGUUCCUUCUUCAGCUUCUUGGCAGCCUUGUAAAGAAGCGAGAGAGAGCAAGGCCCCGGGCCAAACCAUCCCCCAACAUACGCCAUGCGCACUGCUAGGCCGCUGGCGUCGCUCACACCCCCCAUGAGAUUGAAGCAAACGUCCAGAAGCUUCACCAGGAAUGGAUUACUGCGCAACACCAUGUCGUCUUUCUGUACGGUGGAAGUUCGUUUGGCAUCAAUCGUUCCCAUCUUCACAAGAAUCUCCGUGGGUUUCAUGUUGAAUUCGUUAAUGAGCCUCCCGACGAUGGCUAAUCCAAACGGCAGACGGCGGAGUUUUUCUUCGAAUUCUUUGAACUUGUCAAUCUGUUGAAUAGAAAACGAUCUUUCCGACUUCUUCCCGUCGCGCAUGAGGGUGAGAGCUUCAAAGGUUGACAAGUAAGGAAGCUCGAUCGAAUCCAGGUGCAUGACGCGAGGGAGACGAGUGGUGAUGAUAACGUGCGUUGCACUUCCUGGCCGAGGCAAAAGCUCUGAAAUCUCUCGCCCAUCCCAGGAGUCGCACUCUGAGUCCAAAUUGUCAAUGAUAAGAAGGUAUGGAAUGUCUUUCUGUAAUUCAUGUCGCACCCUCUCCACUGCUUCUGCCUCCUGCUCAUCGAACGACCGCAUUCGACCCCUUUCUGACCCAGGUCCAUUCUCCGUACCAACAUUCAGGCCCAACAGAGUGGACAGAUUUAUAUAGUUCUGCCGGAGGUACCGCGACUCCCCGCCCACCCACAACACCAUCCGAUACAUCUGUGCGUGCCUGUAGGCAAAUUCUAAAGCUAGCUCAGAUUUCCCAAGUCCUGAAAUUCCCGUCACAACACACGUGUGCGUAAACCUGGUUUUGCCGCCCUCUCCUCUCCGAUCUGCAGAGUCUUGCCGUUUGUCGCAGGCUUGCGCACUUGGGCGGGGGACUGCACCUCGCCGACUACGGGCAUGGUCCCUUCCUCGCUCCCCUUCACUCUGGUUCGAAAACUCUUCAAAAUUCUCACUGUCAUAAUUCGACAGCCUCGAUUCUGUUUCGUCCUCGUCGCUAGCCUUGCUGGAGACGUCGCUCCUCCGUGAGGGUAGCAUUUGUGCUAGCGGCGACGCUUUGGUAUCAGCAAACAACAGCUUCUCUAGAAUUUUCAGCUCCUUUUCCCUUCCUGCGAAGUAAACAUUCCUCGGCCAUGGAAUUUCCUCUGUAGCUUCUUGCUCCGCACGGAUCUUCAACCUCUCUGCAAUGCUGCGCAUUCCUAACUGCGACCCCACCAAGCCUACUACUCGCUGGAUGCUCUCUCGCCAAUUCUUUCUGUAGGCUUCCACCCGCCAAUCCUCCACCGUAAGCAACCCCUUCACUGCUUCCGACCACCCGUCCUCCUCACCCAUGUACACCUUCCAAAGCUCCCCUCCAUCGACCUCCCAAAUGUCCCCCUGCUUCUCCACGAUGUCCCUCACCAGGCAGUCGGGCGGCGCCACAUCAAAAAACACUGGCACCAGGUUCCCCCGGUCCAGAAAGAUGGUCAGUUCUUCAACGGUGUAGGGAUUCUUAAAAGCCUUCCGGGAGAUGAGUACCACGCCGAAAGUAACCGAAUGCAGAAUCCCUCGCGCAAUGUCGUGGCUCCGCUGAUCAGCAUACAGUGAUCGGUCCGCAGAGAAACAGGCAAACCCAUACAACUCCAGCUCCGCGUGCAGCCACUUAGCGUAUCUGAGCAGCAUCGGAUCCCUCCCGAACAAACCUAUGUACACAUCGCAGCUCCGGGGGUGCGCUGCGGAUCCCGGUGACAAAGAAAUCCAAGGUGUAUCCUGCGUCGACGACGUCGAUCCAAAUGUUCCACCUCCAUUCCUGGACUUUGUUUGAUAAUCAGAUGCAAUAUAAUUUCGUCGAGGGACAUCCCGUUUCUCAAGCACGUUGAGAGCCGCCCCUGGCAAUAACCGUGGAGGGGUUCCAUUCCCGGGGACUGUGCCCGGCGUGAAGUAUGCUGUGCUCGCGCUAUUGGAGAGGAAGCUUCCAGUUUCUGGCGUGAAAAAUCCUGAUCGAUCUGACUCAGAAACGUACUCGUAGUGGGAGGCGGCCGAAGAGGGCAAUGCGAACGGAGGUGGAGAUCGAGGAGUGUGGCAUUCGAUAAACGCGCCAUGGGAGUGGGCUGUCGACGGCGUCAGAGACACGGGAGUGCUUGUCGCAGUCAAGGGAUUCACAAAUGGGACAUUUUGCCCGGAAGGUAGAGCUAGCGGAAAAAGUUCUUGUAGCGGCUCUCCAGAUGUUGCAUCAAACGAAUUCCGAAUUUCUGUAUAGGAGGGUUCAGAAUGCGAGGGUGGGAGCAGGGAUUCGACGGAGGGAGGGAAAGAUGAGAAGGGAGGCGAGGAUUGUUCUAAACUAGGAGUCGGAUGUGAGAAGGAGGAGUAGACUGGUGAGUUUGUCGAGAUUUCGGUGCCUAUGAGGGAGAUGAUGGGGGCAGUGGAGUCCAACCCCGACGCAAAAUGGGAUUUCUCGGAAACGCUGGGUGAAGGAAACAGCUCAUCGGGUUUAAAUGACGGCACCAAAGCUUUUCUGCUGCGGCGACCGCCCGAGCGUAUUUUAAGUGUAGGAACAGUAGUGGGGGGGAAAGUGAGGGCUAUGAACAGCGUCGUCGGCUGAUUGCUAGCAACUCUCGGACUGCGAGAUUCCUCGGAGAGCCGAGACAACGUCAAUUUCGUCGCUACAUUACGUGGAGCGCUCCUCAAAGUCGACAAAGAUUGAGCUGCUGAAGAAUAUAACGUAGUCUCCUGAGUGGAUUGAAUCGAAGCGAGAGAGGAUCCUGCAAAAUCUUGGGGUUUUGAGCCCUCAUGUUGCAAGUCCAUAGAGCCAGUGUCAACAUGCAGGGUCCAAAGACGUUGAAAUGUAAACGCAAGUUACGGCCUUGAAACUAAUCAACACCACUAGCCCAGCAGCUGAUCCGCGUCCGCUUCCCUCAAUCGUGCAUCACCAUAGCGAAAAGAACAAUGCUGAGCAAGAAAAUGCGAGGGCCAAGUAACCCGGUCAUCGCUACACGCCCCUCCUCGCGCCCACAUCCCUCAAACACAAUGGAACUCCCCCAUCCAAAUGCUUAUUCCGGAAACCCAGUCUGGUCACCACGUCUCAGCACCCGAAAGACUUCCUCCCAACCUCGAUGACGACAUCUGUCAAUUGCAAACCCAGCAACAACAAAAAUGAGCAAAAACAAAAACGCAACAGAUACAAGCCCCGGCAGUGGAUACCGGCAACUUGAAUGCUAGAGGUGCACCAGAGACGGUCGGUGUGCGGUUGUCGCAGGGCUAAGAAGCGUGCAACCUCGACCAACCGACGUGUUGGGUGCUGCGAGAGUGUGAGCCAAGUCUCUGGAUGCGCGAACUCGCAGGCACGAUGCUCAGUCAGAUUCAUCUAUGCCCGGCCUCAGCAACCAGAGAGCAUUCCCAACUCCGAGUUAUCAUGGAUUUCAAUUUCCGGAUCACAUCGACAUCUGCAACUAGAAAUCCACCCCGUUCCGUUUUCAUCAUCAGCCCUGCUUUCCGAUCUUUGUGGCUGCUCUGAUGAAUCGCAGUGCUCCGCUCCUCAUCGCCUGAAUCUUUCCGGGCCCACCUGGCUCGUCUACUUCUGCACUCGGAUUCUGGUGCCCCAUCUCCGACUCAACCUAUACUGCAGUCUCUAAAUCUUUUAUUGCUCCACUGGGCACAGGAUUGUCUGUUUCCUUCCACAGUUAAUACACUGCAUCACUUCAUUUUGUUCCAUUAACAGGGUGCCUUGGAUGAUGCUCACCCUCUUCCAGCACUUGUGCCUCUGUCUGAAUGGAUCAUGUGAAUUUCUUCUUUUCUUGUUUUGUUUCAUGUGUAUCAGCGCUUGACAGCCGGCACUCUGUGUACGUGUGCUUCGCUGAUUGCAUGUUUACAUAUCGAUGAGUUUUUGUACUUCUAGAAAUUCUAAAGUUGCUAUGGGUGGAUUCUUUUUAUUCUUCUUGCUUUUUGUUACCAGAGAGUUAUGAGAUUGCAUCAAUAAUAUUCCUUGAGUUUUUAUUUUAUAAAAAAUAAUUGCAAAAAAAAUAACAUUUUAAAAUGUGUAUUUUAGAAUUUACAAAAUAACACAUAACAAUAACGUUAUUUUUUUUAAUGAAAAAUGUAAUUUGGAUUUCAUUCCUGUUUCUAGCCCUUUGUGUGAGUGUGUUUGAGUUUAUACACACACAUAUAUGUAUAUAUAUACAAACACAUAUAUCCCAUGGACUAUAAAUCAUUGUUUCAGAUUGUCAUGUCACACACAGGCGUACAGUUUCCGUGCAUCUCAAUUAGUUUCUUAGUUAAACGUCUUUCUUGAAAUUUCAUUUGAAUUUAAAUAUAAAUUCAAUAAAAAAUUUACCACCCAUUUGACUUCAAACUGCAUCUGGCUCCAAGUUUUAUUUACUUCGCUAUUAUUUAUCUAUUCUUUGUUGAACAUGAUAGCAUGAAUAAAAGAGUUUCAAAAGUCCUUUGCGAAACCCAAAAACAAGAGCUGACUGAGCAAACUAAAUGAUUGUCUGUUGCUAUUUGAACAACCAGCAUUAACACUAAAGAAGAGUUCGCAAAGGCACCAAUACUACACUGGGUUGGAAUCAACAGCAUCUUCUGAAUCUCAGUUCGGUCAGAAGUUUCAAAAAUCAUCCACAUAUCAGUUGCAAUUUCAAUCACAAUACCCCAUUUAUGUGAUGAAUUGAAGAGAUGAAUCAAGAUCUCGAGAAUGGAUGCAUGAAUGUCCACAUCCAUCGACUUGUGUUGAUGAUUCCAACUCCCCCAGCCCCGAGCUCAGAGGCAACAGACGCCGCAGCAACAUCAUAUAUCCACACAAUCACUAGACAUGCCGACACACCCAAUUGUCAUAAAGGUCAGCGAUUACGGCUGCAGUGCAGAAAGAAGAAGUUGGAUAUAUUUAAACAGAGCCAUGCAUCUGCUGCUGCUGCUGCAAACAAGGAACUCCAGUUUCUAGAUUGGGAGGGACUCGGCGAGAGGUGCUGUGCAACUCACACGCGUUCGCCAAUAACCAAGCUGAAGCACCCCUCGUGAGACACACCCCAGAGCUGUCGUCUGUUCUAGCCUGGAAGUUAAGGGCACAUCGGUGCACAAACGGAAGGCCCCGAUCUUGCUGGCAUCACGUCGAGAGCUGGCAAAUGGGGCAACAAGCUCGUGUGUUAUGAUGCAAUUAAAAGGGGGGGUGGCAUCAGCGGUCGCGGAGGCAGUUGGGGAUCGCAAGUGUCUCGCGCAACGAUGGACCUCAAGCCAGGUGGUACCUUUAUCCACCCGCAGCCAAUCCACUCCUUCCAAAAGAUGGCACUAAACAAAGCAGCGGCAGCAUCAGCCAGACCAGCAAUAACAACAAGAACUGCAAAAAAAAGAGAUACGAGGAGAUAAAAACUGAUGAAGGGAAUAUAGUCCUCCAAAUCCAUUUUCUGAGGCUCUGACUCGGAAUACAAGCAACGCUUUGAGUUUGAUUUUUUAUUUAGCAACUAUGUCUUUAGUAAAACUCUCUACAGUUGUGUCUGUACUUGCACAAUUGGGUCAUUCGAAGAAAGCCUUUGCGCUUCCAAGCUUUUACUUUUGCGAUCAGUCUCUCUACGUGUAACCCGUCAAAAUGGCUCCCUUCAACUUAUUGACUACCAUCAAUGUACUGAAUUUUUCCUUUUGAACUAGCACUUUGCUAUUUGGGGUGUGUUCAACCUGACAAACUUUCGUCUCAUGUAAAUGCUUUAAUCACUCUAAUUUCAUGAUUUCUUUGUUUAGACCCAACUAAAAGUACACCUACCAUUACUAAAAACAUGGCAUUUAGGGUUCUAAUAUUCUUAUUUUCGGGCAAGUAUUGGAGCAAGACAAGCCAGCUUCUUCAAUUUGCAUGUUGGCUAUAUAUACAUAUGUAAUAUGUUUAAUCGAAGUAAUAAUGUAGAAAGUUCUAAAAACAUUAUGAAUGCAUCUUGGUAGUCUAAGGAUAAUAAAGGUAAUGAGUCCAAGUGAAAAAGGUAUUGUAUAUCAAAAUAAUACAUUAUUAGUAAUAAAAACAUAAAAGAAAAAAAUGGUUGAUGGUUCUUUACUUGCACUCAUGUUUAAAUCAAUGAUCUUAACAAUGGCUCCUACUUACUAUACUUAUCACAACCUCUAUUUAUUGCAAAUUAUUCCAAAAUCUUAAACAACACAAAAAACAAUUCUUUUUUACUACUUUGAAGCUCAAAGUAGUCGGCAUGGGAAAAAUACCCUAUUCAAAUGUCGCAUUGUAAAUAAUAUUAUAUAUAUAUAUAUAUAGAUAUAGAUAUAUUAUUCUGUAUAUAAAGAUAUUUAUACAAGAGUUAAAGUGGUAAAACAUAAUGUCUUAACUAACACUCUUUUUAUACAACCUGCUAUCUUUCUAAAAUCUUAUAGAAAACUAGAAUCUUUAAAAGACCGUAAUAUUCUAAAAUAUUUACAUUUUUAAAAAAAUUACAUCAAAUAUUUUUAAAAAUAUACAAAGGAUUCAUUUUUUUUACUUUUUUCCAAUUAUGAGUAUGUAACUUUUUACUUAGUCAUGUCUUUGAUUAAGUUACUAAUUUUUUAUUUAAUUUAUAAUAAAAUAAGAUUAAUAUGAAAAUAAUAAUUUUAGUAUUUCAAAAUUAAUAUAGGUAUUAAAGACCAAUUCUAAAGUAUAUAAUCCAAUGCCAAUUUUGAAUAUUUUACAUAAAUUUAUUAAAAUAAUUUAUUAUCUUAAAUAUUUAAAAAAUAAUAAUUAAUACCAAAUAAGUUAAAAAUCAUAUAGCUAUACUUUUUAACCAAAAUAAAAUAAAUAUUUAGUUAAAAAAUCACAUUAAGGUUGUACAAAAACUUCAAAAAGCUAUUUCUUAACUUGAAGUACUUAUACUUCUUAUGAAUUUGAUUUAAUCCAAGUUUGAAAAUAAAUCACUUGUAAAUUUUUCUAUUAAAUAAAACUUUUAUUCUUGUCAAAUAUAAGAUUAGGAAUAAAACCAAGAUAUACUGAAUAUGGUAUAAAGUCGAUUUUUCCUUUAUAAUAACAAUAUAAAUAUAAUUUUUAAAAAUAUUCUGUAUUUUUUGAAAUAAAAAUAAUUAAGUAAUUUUAUUUAUACUUUAAUUUUUUUCACAUAUACUUUACGUCAUUGAUUUAUGUAAUCUUAAUAAUAUUUAGAAAUUGAUAAGAUUUAAAUAAAACACAAGUAAUAAUUGCACAUAUAUUAGUAGUUUUUGCAAAUCUAUUAUUUACACCACCAUAAAAUAACUAUCUCUUUUUUUCUUUUUAAAUAUACUUUCAGUGAAAAGAUAUGUAUAUAUAUAUAUAUAUAUAUAUAUAUAUAUAUAUAAUAAAAAACUAACCGAAUUUAAAUAUUUUUACAAACAAUAUCGGAUAAUUAAGUUCUAUUUUGUUUAAAACAAUGUACUUCUAUUCUAUCUAGUUCUUAUAUACUUUAAUUUUUAUUUCCUUUAGAAACUCAUAAUUAUUCUUAUAAUUUUUUAUUUUUUUAAUUAGUGAUAUUUUAAAAACCAACAUUAAUUUAUUAUUUAUAUUGUGUUAAGUUUCUAUCAUAUAACCCAAGGAGUCUAAUAGUGAAAAAAAUUAAAUCUUUCAAUCCAGCAGUUAAUUAUAAGCAAUAAAUUUCUAUAGUUUUUUAAUUAUUACAUAUCUUUAAGUUGAUUGGCCAAGAAGGUCUUUUUUAAACUACUACAAAUAUGAAUUUGUAUAUUUAUCUCUAUUUAUCUUCUAUUUUAUUCUUGAAAAAAUAUUACAAUCUUUAUUUAAUAUAUUUUUUGAAAUAUUUUAAUUUUCUUUAUAUUCUUUCAAGAUCCUUUUGAUAUCUAAAUUUUGAGACUUUAUUAGAAAAUAAAUGAGAUAUUUCUAAUCUAUCUAUAUCUCUAUAAUGCUUGUUCUUUAUAAAAUAGUUUGAAAGGAUCUAAUUAAUUAAUAAAGUCAUUUAAAAACAAUUAAAUUAAAAAAAUCUUUAAAUUUUAUUUUUAGAUAAGCAUAAAAGCUUUAUUCUUUAAAAUAUAUAUCCCAUCUAUAUAUAUAUAUAUAUAUAUAUAUAUAUAUAUAUAUAAUUUAAUAGAUUUUAUUGGUUGUUAGCACAUUUUUAAAAAAAAAAUGAACUCAAUAUUUUAGCAUUUGCUUUCAUAUUAUAUACUUUAUUUUGAUUUUUUUCAUUUAUCACACUUGCCAUGAAAUAAGUCCAAGACCUUGUUUUUUCUUUUCUUUUUUUUCUUUUUUUUGUUAUUCUCAACACACUAUUAUUUAUAAGACAAUGUUUAAUCUUUAAUAUCUAACUUACGCUCCAAUCUAUAUAAAUCUUUGUAUUUUUUUACAUUGUUGUAUAUUCUUCAAACUUUAUAGUUUAUUCAAUUCAAUUCAAUUUUUGCUAUGCAAAAAAUACUUUGUUAGAAGCUAUACUAUACUUAUAUUUUCUUGUUAGAAUAUUUAAUAAGAGUUAUUAUACAUUUAUCUACCUACAUUAAUUGUAAUAUAGUUGAUUUCUUAUUAAUAUUGGUUUGAAAAGAUUUUUUAAUAAAAUAACUAUAAAUUGAGUUUUUUUCUUUCUAUUCAAUUUUUCCAAAGUUAAAUACUUUAGAGUUAAUAUUUCUAAUUGAUAUCUCAUAACUUAGUUAUAGUGUUUUUAAAAAUAAAAACAACAAUAAAUGUGUAGGUUUUUUUUAAUUGUAGUUCUAAAAAAAUUCUCUCUGAAAAAAUUAUAAUAAAAGUAUUAAAAUAUAAAUAAUAUUAAAGAUUUGUUAAACCUGUACUUAGAAAAUUCUAUGUUUGCAUUAGCAACAUUUUCUUCACCUUGUAUAUUAGUCCAAAGUAACUCAAAUAUAAUUGCUACUUUUUAUACAAAAUGGUUUUUAAAGUCUAAUUGAAGGAUCUCAUUCACAACUUACAAGCUUACAACUAAUCUAAAAUAUCCACAUAUCUUUGCUAACAACGCAUAACUAAUAUGGUUCUAAGCAUCACUUCCAACUUUGCAUAGUCACCACCAAUUUGAUUUUACUGUAUUUUUUUAAAAAAAGGUAUUCGAAAAAGGCCUUCGCAUAAUCUCUACCGCGUAAAUAUUCAAAUCAAUCAAAGGUAACAAUGAUCAGCGCUUUGCCACUUUGUUUCGCCACUUUAUCACAAGAAGCAAAAAAGACAAAAAAAAAACAAACAAACAAACAAACAAACAAACAAGGAGUGCAAUGGAAGAGGCGGGACCCAAAAACAGCCCGUGGGGUUGUUCCACCCCUGACAAUGUAUGCAUUCUGGUCCUAGUCCAUAACAACGCCCACCGUCUCAUCUGCUUUUGAAGAUACAUUUGCAUGUCUUCUUGCUUGGAAAUAUCAUUUCUAUCCAGGACCAAAGUCCCCCUAAUUUCUCAACGCAAAACUAUUGGUUGGGUUCUCUUCCUGUAAAUACCAUGUUCAUCAUCUGUUGUCAUCGAGUGUUCAUUUUGCUGACUCCUGGUGAACAUGCUGAUGUAGGGACGAGAGAGCUUAACUGGGAUGGAGUUAAAAUCGUUGAACAGUAACUGAAUCGGGCCCGACCAUCUGCAUCCUUCACUGAGAUACCACAGCGUCACCCCCGAUUUCGAAGCUACUUCGAGACCUAGUGUUGUCCUCGUCAUCUGCUUGGUCAUUCGAUUCCUUGGACAGAGGAUCACCGCCAAAAAAACUUAUGUCCCUGAUCUGACAAGUCACACCUCAUCCGAUCAUUUGAUUACUUCACCAAAGUGUGAGGUAUGAUUGCUCAGAUAAGGCAGCUUGUGCACACUAAUUGCAGUUUCUUACUCUGCGGUGGCAUUGAUCGAUUCGAUGCUCUUCAUGCAAGCACGUAGCAUACCUCCUUCAGAGGCUAUUUUUAUUCACUAUUCGUUUAUAUGGAAAUUCUAAAACGAUGAAUACGCAGCAAUCCUACCCAAAUUUACACCGUUGCAGGGGAAUAUAAACCUAUCAAGGCAGGCACAUGGCUCUGAUCACAGUGGGAAUGUCUACAAAUCUGCCUUACCGAAAACAACGCCUCUUUAAUCCCAAACGAAAUGCGAGACGGUUCAUUAAAAUUGAAUGUUAGUCCGCACAGAAUGCUUUCCAGAGUAAUGUAAUCCUUCACAUUGAAAUCUCCAAUUAAUAAUACAAUACUACAAAUAAAUUUCAGCUAAUUCGAUUGUAUUACUUCAAUUGAAUCUACACUUGAGCCCACAAGUGGUAUUGUGAGCUGUAUAAGUACACAAGAGGCACAUAUCGGCAGCCUUCUCAUCGAGACACUUCUAGACAUAGUUAUCAGCCCAAAUCAAUGAAUGAAUGGUCUACAUGAAAAUCUGUUUCUUUCUCUAAGAACUCCGGGACAGAUUUGAAUAUCAUUGUGGUACUCACAACACACCACGAGUAGAGAUUGCGAGCUGGAUCCUAUCCGCUAGAUCAGCAACGGUAACAUUACCAAGCUCUCCACCAUGUCUGGUUCGGACAGUCAGAGUUUCAGUCUCAACUUCCUUACGCCCAACAACAGCCAUAACGGGUAUUUUUUGUGUCUCAGCGUUACGAAUCAACUUUCCAAGCCGCUCACCAAAAAUCACUUCAGCUCUAAUUUCCCUCGCUUUAAGCUCAGCUACCACCUUUUUGCAGUAAUCAACCUAAGUAAUACAAAAACAAACUGAGCAUCAGCUUACUGGAUGGUUUUUAUCAACAAUUUCAAUUGAAACAAUAAACAGUGUUUGCAAUAGAUAAAGAAGUGAUUUUGCAGUAUCUACCUAAACGAAAAGGAAAAGGACCUCACCUCAUUAUCGGUCACUGGAAGCAAACGAGCUUGAACUGGAGCAAGCCACAAUGGGAAGUCGCCAGCAUAAUUCUCAGUCAAAAUACCAAAAAAUCUCUCGAUAGAACCAAAUAUAGCUCUAUGAAUCAUAAUGGGCUGCUUUCUUGAGGUGUCAGAGUCCACAUACACCAUAUUGAACCUCUCGGGUAGGUUAAAAUCCACCUGAAAAGAGAAAUCACAUGACAUGCGUUUAAUAUGUCGUAUAUAACAAAAUAAAAACGUUCAUUUAAGCAACAUAAGAACGGGUUUUUAAAUCAGGAUUUCUACUUGCUAUACCUUGCGUACUCUAAUUAAUUUUUUUAAGUCGAACAACCCGCCACCUAUUUGACAGCUUUUAGCUACACCAACUGCCUGCCCAUCUAACAAAUUUGACGCUUCACAAAACAUAGAAGAAAUGUCAAAUCGUGCAUGCAAUGACUUCGUUAAGGCAUAAAUUCUGUGUUUGGAAAAACCUGACCUGAAUGGUAGAGCACUGCCAUUUGCGACCAAUCGCAUCCUCUAUCUUCACAUCGAUUUUAGGACCGUAAAAAGCACCACCUCCUUCAUCAAUGCCAUAUUCCCAGCCCUUGUCCUCCAACGCACUCUUCAAAGCAGUAGUAGCUUUUUCCCAAAUCUCAUCACUGCCGACAGCUUUCUCAGGCCUUGUUGAUAAGUUAAUCUCGAAUUUCGAAAAACCAAAUUGUUUGAGAAUCAUCUCCGUUAAAUCAAGCACUCCUCGGAUCUCAUCCCUAAUUUGAUCGGGGAGACAGAAGAUAUGUCCGUCAUCCUGAGAAGCAAAAUUACAGGGUCAAGCUUUUCGCCAAGUAGUGAAAAGAGGAACAGGUCGAAUAAACUAGAUUUUUUUUUUUUUUUUUUUUUUUUUUUUCCAUGAUCAAUAAACACAACUGCAUAAACUACAAAGCAUGUUUUGAACGUACAACCUAGGAGCUUCGAAUUGAGAAGUGGCAGAUCAUAAUCUGAAAGCAUAAGUUGAACAUACCUGAGUAAAACCACGAACUCGGAACAAGCCGUGCAAAGUCCCAGACCGUUCAUAUCGAUAAACUGUGCCCAAUUCCGCCACUCUCAUGGGCAAUUCGCGAUAGGAUCGAAGUGCAUCCUUGUAAACUUGGAUAUGAAAUGGACAAUUCAUGGGCCUAAUUUGGUAUAGUUCCUCCUCUAUCUGCAUCUGAUCAAACAUGUUUUCUUUGUAGAAAUCAUAAUGUCCACUUGUUUUCCACAAGUCAAGCUUGGCAAUAUGAGGGGUGUAAAGAAGUUCGUAUCCAUUUGCAAAAUGCAUCUUCUUCCAGUAAUCUUCAAUAAUGUGACGAAUCAUGGCUCCUUUCGGAUGCCAAAAGACAAGACCUCCUCCAGCAUCUUCCUGCAACAAAGUGAUACCACAACUCACUAACAAAGCAAAACGCUAUGACAGAUCCAACAAGAAUGAUAUAAUAAAAGCACUGUUCAGACAAAGUCAUUGACCCAAUCAAACGACUUUGACGUGUUGCUAAACAUCAAGAUAAGGUGCACAAAGGCACUAAGUGAUCUCAAAAUCCAUUCACAGAUAUUAGAUACAACAUAAGAUGAUUCAGCAGCAAUUACCUGGAUAGAGAAUAGAUUUAGGUCUUGUCCAAGGCGCCGAUGAUCACGGCGCUUAGCUUCUUCCUUUUGAACUUGGUAGGCCUUCAGCUGCUCCUCCGUUUCCCAUGCUGUUCCAUACACCCUCUGCAGCAUUUGGUUCUUUUCAUCGCCCCUCCAAUAUGCUCCUGCGACGGACUCAAGCUCAAUAGCUCGUUUAUUUAAUUGUCCGGUCCGCUCCACAUGGGGCCCAGCACAGAGGUCCCACCAGUCUUCCCCUGCGGGCAUGUUUAAAACGGAAUAAACAUAAGAAAAAAACUAUCCGCACUAAAGAUUGGUGAAUUCAGCAAUGCAAGCGCAAAACGCCUAAAGAUUGGAACAUGAAUAGCAAUAGGUGAAAUAAACCAAUCACAUAUUGGCCACCAUUAUUGUCAACUGAAGUUAGCUACACACAACCAAAGAGUAGUUCAAUCAAAGUACGAACCAAUUCUGUAUAUCGUAAUCGGCUCUGACUUGAUACCCUCCAAUAUCUCCAGUUUGUAGGGCUCAUUUAUGGCCUUGAUACGCCUCUCAGCUUCCUCCCUCGACACCUCUUCUCUUACAAGCGGUAAAUUGCGACUAAUAAUUCGGUCCUGCAAAGUUACAUGCCAUAAUUUUUGCUCCUCAAAUUCCAAGGACCGACACACCUCAACAAAUAAGAUAUGGCCCGAAAGUAACAGCUAUUGGAAUCCGGCAUAUAGCUGAAACGACACGUGCAGCGGGAUAAUAAGCUUACCAUUUCUUUCUUGAUCUUCUUUAAGUCUUUCUCGGUAAAAGCUUCUUUCAUGUCAAAGUCAUAAUAGAAGCCCUUCUCAAUCCACGGACCAAUUGUAACUUGAGCUUCAGGAAAAAGCUUCUGUACAGCCAUUGCUAAUACAUGUGCAGUCUGCAAAAUCAAUAAAAGUCCAACGAAGCAACGUGAGAAAGUGGAAAAAUGGGCAUUUAAACAUCGCAAAAUGAAGAGUGUAAGAUCAAUGCAUACACACUCACGUGUUAAAGUUUCAUCAAAAUAUUGAACGAUACAGUUUCUGAACGAUGGGGAAUUAGUGAGGGUUUCUCAACAUCAAAAAAUAUCAACCACGAGUCUAAAGCCAAGUUAUGCUGGUUUCAGCACUCGAACAACAUAUCCCGAGAAAUCGUGAGGAACAGUGCAGGCCAAUGGGCAUAGGAAGCGAAAUUCGAAAUAAAUUUUUCUUCGAAAACACCAGCUUAACUAGUAACCUUCACUUACCGUAUGGCGGAUUUUGACUAAAUUCUCCGAUGACUCGUUUGUGGGUAAAACAAUGAUUUUGUUUUCUGCGUCCUCUGGAAUCUCAACCUGGGACUUAGGAUCGAUAACAACCUCUUGAUCAGCUGCAAGAGACGCCGUCGCUACCAUCCGCUCACUACCUUUGACCCAAUUGGGCAUCUGUCCAAGUGGAGACAUCACGGCGACGUGUUGAAGCAUACGCGAGUUUGCAAGAGACAGGUAGCCAACCAAGAGGUUGCGGUUCCGUCUUGACGCACAUAGGGAAGAGUGGGAUGAAAUCCUCCUGGUAAUCCAACAGUCACUAUUUUAAAAUAUUGUAUAUAUAUAUAUAUAUAUAUAUAUAUAUAUAUAUAUAUAUAUAUAUUCCCUCCACAACAGGGAAGUAAACCCAAAACCUUACGUACACAGGGAAUUGGCUUUCUGACAUACUCUCAUUUUACAAAACCUAGUACCAUAACCAGCAGCUGGUUAUAAAUAAGACAACGAGGAACCCAGAAAAUGCAAGCUCUCCAAAUUACGCGUCAAGGUUGCAAAAUCAAACCCUAAAUUCAGCUAAAAUCCAAAUUUUGCACUACUUAAAGCAAGGAGAAAGUGAGGAUCGUCUGAGGAUCGUCUGAGAGCCAUUCCAAUCAAAUUUGCAACAAAAAAAUAAGCGUGGUUUUUUAAAAUCACGCAAAUAAAUAAAUAAACUCGUUCAAAACAUGAUAGUCAAUCCAUACACACUCCAACAAAACCCAAGUUCAAUUUCAAUUUCAAUGUCAAAACGCUUCGAGGAUGACUUCGACAGGGAAAGCCAAUUACGGUCCAACUGAGAGUGAAGGCCGCAUAACUUCAAUGUGCACCAGUCCAAUAUCGACGCCACCGACCUACUACUCAGACCCGCGCUGCGACUUGCAAAGGACUUCCAACAGAUGCACACCCAAGAGCAUUUUUGACAAAAAAAAAAUCAGGAAACAGGAAGCAACCAACCAACCUGGAGAAAAGCAGCGGGGGUAGACCAGCAGCAGGGGAGUAAAGUGAGCAGCCAUGCGUCCCGAGCUUCGGCACCACCAUCUUGGGCGCAAUCGCGGUUGCAGUACCCAUAAUUCCUCUCUAAAGUAACAAACAAUAAUCCACGACUUGGUGCUCGCACAAUUUCAAGCUCCUGCUUCCAUUCUCUGAGGGGACUUGACAAGGGAGGUGGGCAAAUGGGCAGAGAUGUGAAUAAUGCGGCAGAUGAAUGGUGGAAUGGGGGGCUGAUCAAAAGGUGGGGUGCGUGCUCGCCAUGGCUGCGAAUCCACCAUCACCGCCUCCGCUUCACCUUCCCCGCCCCGCAACAGGAUUUGCUUUCCAUGAGCCAUCCAGAUUUGAUCUCCCCGAAGGGAAGAUUGCCCCUUGGCCCCAUUCACACGGACACUCCCCUCCCCUUCCUCCCUCCUGGAUAACGUCCAUCCAUUCGUUUCCUCAUCCACUACACGUUCGUCGUCCACGUGGAUGCUCGUUCGUCCAUCCAUUGGUUUUAUCAUUCAUCUUAUAUUCGUCGUCGGCAUGGAUGUCCGUUCGUAUGUCCUCAACAAUGAGCGAUUAUUGUCCAACCUGCGGGGGGUGUUGUUCAGAGUCUCAGAUCAGUAUAGAAAUGUACUGGAACAAUUAUUAAUGAACCAUUCAAAUAAGAAAGUAACGACAAUGGGUGUAGAAUAACUGAACAAUACCGAAUAUCACGUUAUCAGGAAUUAUUAUAAAUAAAGAUUGUGAGUUUGUGAAAUAAUAUCCUCAGAGUCAAGUUUGCUUGCACAUUGCUGUUUUCAUAACAGUGGUCUCAAUUAGUCACCUGUGAAAUCAAUGAAAUCAGUUAAGUGAUCAGAUGAAGUUUGCACGUGUUGGUAUGAAGGGAUUAUAUUCCCAACUAAUACAUUUGAGUUUACAAUCGUGUUGAUAUACUCAGAGGUAUUUCAAUCACUUUUGAUGAUCUAUGAUGUACGACUGCAUCUAUCUAGGUGAUGUUUUACAAACUUGUAACUCUUAAUCGACAGUCAUUUGUUGCAUUAGGAAUAGCCAUGAAAAUUCUUUAAGUAAACAUAACCUCACUUAGAGUAUAGAUUCAAGAUUGAGGGCAAGUGCUCCAAAACGUGCAAAGAGAGCAAUGCAGUCACUUGUAGGGUUUAGUACAGCAUCAACCAGAAUUGCUAGUGUUAAUGUGUGUGUUUUUUCUAAUAAAAAAAAAUGCAUAGCAGCAAAUUUAGUUAUUGUUAAAUCAAGAAAAGACGAUGUUACCCAUUAUAUGAUCCUCAAGUUAUUUAGAACUUAGACAAUACUUUUGAUUUAGACACUAUUAAAAUCUUCACUUGAAUAAGUUUAAGACAUAUCCUGGGAGAUUUCAAGUUGGUCCUCGCCCAAGUUGUAGCUGGGUUUAGAAAUGAUCUAAUAACCCUUUCACAUAGUAGUCAUAGAAUACGAGCCUACUUGGUCUUAAAUGUAGAUACACUAGUGCCACUUCAUGCCCGUUGUUGGCCCCAGCACAUCCUUAGUUGUGCCAUUAGCCCCAUUCACCAUAAAAACAACCGUAUUUAUAUGGUAAAUAAAUUGCAAGAAAGAAGAAAAUAUUUUAAAACAUAUUAAAAGGAGUAUCAACUUUGUUGCGCAAAGAAAGAAAGAAGUCUUUGCUCCAACAAUUAAAUACCAAUUACACUUUUAAAUAUUUCCAACAAGAACUACGCAAAAAUCUUCCAGAAAAUACUUCAAAUUGUUCAAAAGGUAUAAUUGUCAGAAUAUAAAGAGCCAGAAGAGAGCAAGCAGUUGCCAUACGGAUCCACGAACGCCGAGGUUACACACAGAUUGUGUUCCAGGCUACAAGAAAAUGCAUCCGCUAAAAGAGAUCGGAAUGAACUGCAUUAUCGUCAUUUCAACUUGGAUUCCGAACCUCGAUCCGAGUUUCACCCCAACGGUUCUUAUGACUAAGGACAACCCUCCCCCCCUCCCCACACUGCAUGCGGACAUAGCACCUAAAACGACUGCGUACAACUCCCGAGACCCGAGUAUUAUGAUCUGUAAGCUUGUGUUACGUAGCUCGUAUCAUUAACUUCAAGAGCCAGAAAAGAACAAGCAGUUACUCUCCGGAUACAGGAACGCCUUGCUUACACAUUGAAGGUGAUGCGGGCUGCCUGAGAAAGUACCCGCCAACAACCACAUUCAUUGAUGAAAUGACCCAACUCACUAGGCAUUUGUAAGAACAGCUUUUGAAAACAGAACUCCAUUGUGGAAAAAAAAAAAAAAAAAAAAAAAAAAAAAAAAACGCCAAGAGGCAGGCAAAUUAAUCUCCUCAGAUCAGAUCUUUUGGUGUAUAUUUGAAAGCCUUCAUAGAUGACCUCAAGAACUUCAGUCUGCAUCAUCAGAGUUUAACACACUGGAACCAGACGGCAAGCAAAGACAAUACCUUUACCAUACAGACGAGACAUGUUCAUAUUGAAGCAACAGUCAAAACCAAAGAGACGGCUAACAGCAAACCCUAAAACUGAGCGCACUUCUCGGCGAGGAGAAGCCCACACAUGGAAGAUGAAAUUUCGAGUGGAGGAUGGGAGACUAUAUAGGUGACAUGAUAACCCUAGAAUAGAAUGGAUCUCCGAGGCGCCUUACACCAUCCUGACCAAACAACAUUUCUUUUCAUGCAUUUUAUUCUUUAUAGUGUAUUGACUUUCCGAAAAACUAUUAGUAUAGUUAAGACAUGAAAAACAAUCUUUGGUAUUACUAUAAAUAUAUGUUUAUAAGGCUUAUAAUGAGGCUUUUUCUUUUCUUUUCUUUUCUUUUCUUUCUUUUCAUUUGCUUCUUCUUCAAGCAAUUGAAAAAUCAAGUUUCAACAAUAAAGUUUGCCAAAACAUUCAAAUUAAUUUUUAUAGAGUCAACAUAGAUAUAGAAAUAGAUGGUUUUUUACCACAUUUUUUAAUUAAAAUAAGAGCAAGACAAGGAUGUUUGCUAGCUUAAUGCCUAUUUACCAUAGUAGGAGAAAUGUUUAAUGUGAAUAUUUAAGAAGAAGUGAAAGCAAAAAUAUUAGAAGAGAAUUAAUAUUUUGUAGAAUUCCAAUCAAAAAAUCUUUAUUCAAUAUGCACAUGAUUCUAUUUUACUAUAAAAAUAGAAAAAUCUAAUAUGAGGAUCUUAAUUAAUAUUAUAUAAAAAUUUAUUUGACUUUUGGACUAAAAUAAAGUUAGUUUGAAUUGGUAUUAUACUAGCCAUACAAUAAAUAAGAUAAUUUUUUACAUAAUAGACUAUGAAUUUAAAGAGGGCAUGGCCUCCUCUAAUAAUCAAACCGAAUUCUUGGAUAUAUUUUUUGGAUAAAUACAACAUACACAAGAUAUAGUCAAAUUUCUAAUUUACAAAAUAAAAAAUAUACUAGAAUAUUAAAACUCUACUAAGUUCAAUGUAAUAGGAAGAAUUAUUAUCGUCAAUAAUAUUCUUAUAUCUUCCUUGAUUUUUUUUCUUAUGACAUAAAUUGACACCAUAAACACUAUUUACAUAAUCAAAUCUAUGGUUAAGAAUUUUUUGAAGAAAAAUACACAAAAAAGUAAUUAGUUUUACAAUUGUUUAGGUGAUUUGAUGUAAAACUAAGGAAAAUGGAGGAUUAAGAGUAAUUUAUCCCAACAAUGCAAUUAAGUCUCAUUUUACCAAAUGGAUCAUCAAUGCACUAUAACCAAAACAAUCAAAUAUUUAAUACAUAUAUAUAUAUAUAUAUAUAUAUAUAUAUAUGUGUAAUUUAAGAUUAUUACAUAAAAACCUCUUGUCUUUAAUAAAAUGAAGAGUUAACUUUGAAUGGGCAUUAAUAACCAAUCAUAAAUGGAGCACAAAUAAAAAUAUAAGUUCAAAAUUAACAAAGUUUGGACAUUUAAAGUUUUUUUCAUUAGCUUCUAUGAUCCAAGAACUUUUAUAAUAUUUGGAAAAACUUUCUUUGAUUGAAUCAUAUAUUUUUUCUUUUAAAUGCACAAAUCAAUUCUAUCAAUGUUACAUCAAUAAAGCUUUACAACUUUUUAUUGAUGGAUUAAUAAGACAUUGAAAGAAUAAGCUUUUUGCCCUCUACACUUUGAUCAAGUUCUUUGACAUUAUAAAGCCUACAUAUUUCUCAAUGUACACAACACUAAAAGGUCUCUAUUACAAAUUACAUGCACGUGAUUUCCUACAAACAAUGCCAAAUAUUUGGCUAUGAUAAACUUUUGCAACUUAAUAAAUUGUUAAAACUAUAUCAAAGAAAAUAUAAUACAAAUAUUAAGUUAUCUCCAUAGAAUAGACUUGGUGGGAGAAAAUAAUAUUAGGCAACAAAUAUUAUUGAGUUACAAAAUAUUGAGUUAAAGAGAGAUUAUUGUAUCUAGGUUUAUCCUUGUAUUUUUAAAGGAGCAUUACUUAUUUAGCUUGCUUAGCAUAAAGGUGACACAAUGAACAAAUAGAGGAGACAAUCUAGCCCUAACAUUGAUGUUUAUUACCUUCUAUGCUCUUCUUUACAAAAAAAAAACUUACAUAGAUUUUGGGAUUACAUUUAAGCAAGAUGUACUUAGAUUUGGUCUACUUUAUUUUUGUCUAAGUUAACAUCUAGCUCUAAAAAGUGGAUUUAUUCUAAAAUCUUUACAUGAAUACAUACUAUUCUUGCUAAACCUUUACUUCUUAGAUUUGAAAGAUUAUCAACCAUUUGAUUAUUAUUGAAAGAAUUGUGUAUCUAGACAAUUUGGAUUUAACACAAUAAAUUCAAUUUUGAAUUUGAGAUUUGAACUAAUUACCACACUAAGAAAAUCAUAUGAACAAAUAUGGAAAAAUUCUAUGAAAAGUCACAAAUAAAAAAAUUAAAAUGAAUCCUGACCACAGGUUAACAUUUCUUUUUUAAAGUAAGAUAAAUUAUAGAUAUAAAAAAAUAUGAUUGGAUACAGAUCUAACGGUAUUAUUUGCUUUGAUGGAACUCUAGAGUAUCGCAAUCCAACACAAUUUAAGCAUGAUACAAUAGAAAACGAACAUAAGACAGUCAUAGGCCAACACUGUCUUUUAUACUCUAAUAUCCAUCUUUCAAGAGUUAUAAGUUCCAUUAUUCAGUACCAUACAUUGAUUAUACCACAUUUUGUGUAGGGAAAAAAUAAAUAAAUAACAAAAAAAUGAUGAGUCCACAGCCGUGCGAUCAAGAUCCAAUCGGGCAAUCAGACACAAUGCAAGAUGCGGGCCAAACCCUUGACCCUGCUUCCGCAUAGGUGGCACGGCAUUACUGGCAAAUGAAUUAACUCUCUGAAGCAUGGAGGUCAAAGGUUUAUUGUACAUAGAUAUAAAUCCAAGAGUAUAGUGAACAUUUUGAAAUACAUCACAUGAUUUGCAACCCCUCAAUUUUAAGAAUCUCAAAUCUCAUCAACGGCUCUGAUCAAGCGCUGCAACCAAAGUGCACAAGAAUGAUAACCCCAGCCAAGGUGUCAACCAACACAAUUUUUCACGAUUGGUAUACUACACUCUAGUGGACAAAGUCUCUUGCCGUGAUGAUUAGAAACCAGUUCAAGUUGCUAAACCGGCUGGUCACUAAAAGCAUUAAGGAGAUUUAUAAAUUCUAUCAAAAUCAACCUCUUGAACUUCAGCACAGGCUCGCACCUAAUGUGAACAAAAUGCCUGUCGCAGUUCUGACCUCAAAUUUGGGCACGCCUGCAAAAGACAAGUUGUAAAAUAAGAUCAAGGCCACUUCCAACCCUGUAAACAGCUAAAUAAGAAACAACACUCUGAACGAAUAUAUAAAUCCUGUGAUGAGAAUGGGCGUUAAGUUAUUUUAUAAACGCACAAGUGUACAUCGUGGUCAGACCAUCUCACCUAGUACUGACAACCUGCAUAGGAUUACCGUCGUAACCCCAGCAAACACUACAGCUUAGAUUGCUGCACUGAACUUGUUUUCAAACAGAAAAUCUGGAGUAGUAUAGUUCAACGUUGAUAUAAAAUACAGAAACAGGGAGCUCCAUCCAUUACUGUGCGUAUUGAUGUAGGUCGCCAUGUCCGACAAACUGGUCCACCUGUCCGCCUUCUAUCGCAAAUCCCAUGUGCAUGACAUUAUUGAGGUCCAUAGACCAGUGCUGAUGUAGCUCCUUCGCCAAGCCUGGAUUUACUCCUUGCAAAUGCAUCAUGUUUGGAACUUGCGUUUGCGGAUUCUCAGAUGCCGCAGAAAAUAGUUCGGCACUUAAGCUGGAAUUAGUUGGAUGUCUGUCAGCAACACUGCUAGGCAAGAAUUGGGUCUUCUUUUUCUUUGAACCACGUUGUGAUUUGGAAGUCUUCGAUCGAUCUGGCGACGAUAGGGACUGACGAAGCUUCUGCAAUCGUUGCAGCAGCUGAGCCUCGCUCAUUUCCACCUGCGUAUCAAAAUCUUUCCUUGACGAGUGCUUAUCAGAUGUACUGUACCGUCGUUUAGGAACAGUUCUGGCCUUAGGAGUUGAAUGUUGUCGUUGCUGAGGCUCAGGAAUGCCAAGUGACUCCCUAAAAUUCCGGAGCCGCUCCAGAGCAUCAUCUGUUUGUUCAUUUUCAUUCACCACUUCUUCCUCGAUAUCUUCUUGCUGUUCUAGAACAUCACGACGUAAUCGCGCCAACCUCAUUUGGAUUUGUGCGUCAUCGUCCGAUUCAUAAGUUGUCCGCCCUUUCUUGCUUUGUCGCUUUGGAAGCUUGGACUGCAACCCAGAAGCAUCAAUGUUUGACGUCUGUCCACGCCUCUUCACACAACGCUGAUUAUGCACAACUGGUGCAAUCGAGUUGGUUCUAGAAAUUUGCAUCAGAGAUAGGGAAAUAUCAGAUGCGGAAUCGUGGUAUAAAUACACAAUACCAAUAUUCACUAAACCAAUGUCAAACUUCACACGAAGGAAUACCUUAACAAACGUGCUAAGGAGUUCCAACUCCUCUGCGGAAGGACAACGACGAGAUCCAUAUUCUAGAGUUUCACUGGAGGUAGAAAGGGGUGUUGAAAGGCACAAAAGAGGAGAACAUAAACAUCACAUAACACUCAUGCGGGAAGCCUAAUAUGCAUUUAAUAUUUACAGGAUGAAAGACAGACCAACCUACAGCCAACUCAGCUCAGGCAACCGUGAAAAAACUGUUAAAGAGAUCCUUCUGCAGAUGUUAUUUGACAUCAGCUACAACAACAGCAACAAAAAAAAAAAAAAAAAAAAAAAAAAAAAAAAAAAAAAAAAAAAAAAAAAAAAAAAAAAAACGCCUACUCUUCAACCACGUUAGCACCGGGAACACUCCACCAUGUAGAAUCUUUCAUUUUUUCGUUAUCCUUCAUAAAUUUACGAUCAGACGUUACAAUAGGGCUUUAGCCGUAAGAAGUUAACAAGAAAAAUCAAGCAUACUCGGGCACCCUUAUCUGUGAACUAAAAUAAAGUUACACAAUCAAGUUUCCUUGUAUUGGAUGAUUUCGCACUCAAGGCAACAGCGUGUAAAGGAAGAAGUCUUAGCAAUCAACCUUGUCGUGAUUUCCCGCGUCAUGGCGUUGGUUUAAAUUACCCCUAAGAAAUUCUGUGAUUCUGAAUUUUAGACUUUCCCUUGGAAGCAGCUGUAGACUAUAUUUGCUAGGCAUACCAGAACCAUAUAAUGGAGCCAAUUGAGAAACGAAGUACAAGUACUCUUACGGGUUUAGAAGCUCAGGUUUGCGAGGUGAUAAGAAUCCCAAGGUUCCAGGUUUGUUCUGCCCGCUCUCCACGUAGCUAAGCAUAUCAUCAAUGUCCACGUUACCAAGUGGCGUCUCCGCCAUCUUUAAAUCAAUCCUCUUCGGAGUUAAGCCAAUGUGCAGCUCAUAUGUCUCUGCGAACUUUCUAGCCUACGAGCCACAGCUUGACCUAAAGUAACGGCAGUACUUCAAACUCUCACGCUGAAGAGGCCGCGCCGGGUCGAGACCUCCUAAUUCCAAAUUGUUGCCACAACAGAUGUCUUCUUGCCAAUCGCAGCCAGGGUCCACCUCUUCAACUCCCGAAAGCAUCCAAACCCUCAAACGAACCUAAUCUAAAAGCAGAAGCACAGUCACGUCAUGAAACCACAUUGCACAACAAUCAACUCAGAACAGUAGGGUUUUAUCCAACACUUUCACAAACAAAAACAAAAAUAAGUGAAUAAAAACACAAUGACGACGACUCCACCAAGGAAUUAAGAGCCACACACGAACAAAAAUGCUAAGAACACGAGACCUUAAGAAGCAGCGAAGCAACAAAGGAAGGGAACCCGCUCACUGUAGGUCUCUAGGCGAGAGUGGAAUGCAAUCAAGACAUUCGGCAACGGGCGAUUGCACCAGGGUUAAGGCUCCGCUUACCUGUGCCAACGUUAAAUCCCGGCACACAGACAACAACACCAAUUCGCGAACCGGAAGCAUCCAGAGACGAGCGCUCACGAAACCAACGCCGGUAAUUCGUGACAGGUGCGAGGAAAGCGAAGGGAGGGAUGCAACGAUGGCGACCAAGGGCUCCACCUCCGCCUCGAACGCCGUGGCGGUGAAGAUGCAUGGAAUGGCAAUGGCGAUGGCGAUGGAGUCAGGGAUUGCGCCGAUGUGUGCUGCUCCUUCUCCAGUUGCUGUUGCUUUUGUUUAGGGCUUGCAAGCUGCGCAUGCCAUCGUCGUGUCUUCCACUCCCUGGUUCGUUUCUGCUUCUACUUCAUCUUCAUCUUCUUCUUCUUCCUGUUGCCAUACUUUCGCCGUUUAAUACUCUUUCCUCUUCCUCGCUGGUCACAGUCCUACAUUCUCAUAAUCUGGAUAAAAUUGGGUUAUUGUGUACACUAUUCUUUCACCUAGACAUUGCACCUUCAAUGUUUUGUGUAUGAGUUGUGUUCCAAGUGUGCAGAAACUAUAAGAAAUAUGUAUUUGUGAAAAUGUGUGAUUGUUUACAUAAGCUUCUUCUUCUCCUACCAUGCAAUUCAAUUUUUAAUUCAUUAUAAUUGUGCUUUUUGGUCAUAGAGUGUUUUUUUAACGGACUUUUGUCACACAAGGCAAGGUGUUAAAAUGACUCAAAAGCAGAUCCGAACGAGUUCUAAGUGGAGAGAAACUUUGGUUUUUAGUAAUGAAAUGCACAGAUUGUAUUAGAAUAAUUGUAUUAUCUUUAUCAGCCAAAUCUGGAAGAGUUGAUGGAGUGAGUCACUUGAGUAGUGCACCAAUCACGCCUUCUAAAUUCACAUGGGAAAGAAUCAACUUUGUUCUUUUCUUCAUUUUUUUUUAGAUUAACAAAAUGAUGACAUUUACUUUCUAGAUUUCAAUAUUAGAGUUCAAAUUGUGUUGAAUAUUAAAUCAUUACAGCAAAAAAUCAAAACCAAAAAAACAACAUGGCAUUUCAAAUGCAUAAAUAAAUUAAAGUAAUUAGAAUUGAAAUUAAAACAUCUAAUAAGGCAUACACUGAUUAAUUGUUAAAAUAGAAUAUUAAUAAAAAUGUAACUAUUGAUAUAUUUUUAAUCAUAACUAUUUCAAAUAAUGCAAAAGCAAAUUAGUGCAUUUAUAAAGCUUAUGUUGGAACUUCAUUAAAAAUCAACAUUACUUCUUAGAUCAAUUCUACAAGUAAAAAAAAAUGUUUCCACAAAAUAUAUGUAGAAUCAAGUACUUGACACCAAAUAUAUUUGUUAAAAAACUACAGAUAAAAACAUUUAAUAUUUACAGAUAAAAAGAACUAUUCAGUUCAGUGGUAAUACACAUUUUAUGUGUGUGUGUGAAAAUAUAUAUAUAUAUAUAUAUAUAUAUAUAUAUAAUAUGCUAUUGAUUUUUUUGUCAAUGCACACUGAAAUUCACAUCUUCAUCAAAAUCCUUUCGACAUAUCAAUAUGUAGAAAAAUCAUGCAUCUACAAUUACCAAACACUUGAUAUCUUUCCUUUUUCAAAAGUCGAUGGUUGCUAAACCUUCAAGUUGAAGCAACUAGUUCUUGACAUGAGGAUCUUUUUCUCCACAACCGUGUUUCAAUUUCUACAUCAUGUUGAUUAUUUAGAUGGUUAUUGUAAUACAAAAUUUAAAGGUGAUGUAUAAAAUCUGAACAUUUUACACAGACAUUACCAUUAAAAUUUAUACAUAUCUUUAAAAUUUAUACAUGUCUUCAAGACCCCAAUAGCAAGCCAAAGAUAUUCUACAACUACAAGAAACUACCUACAGGAAAAGAACCAAUAGAAGCCAUGAAUUUCACCAACGAUCAUAUCUGGUAUAAGAUAACAUGUCAUGCACAUGCCGAGAGUCUCAGUGAUGUGGGUCAAAGCAAGCCAUAGCCAAGGACCAUGCUACCAAACAAUUUGAUUAGCAAAAACAUUUACUAGCAAGGUGGAGCUUAAAGAACAGGAGGUGGAAAACAUUUGUGAUUUUUAGCUGGAAGAAAAAAACCAGGCAUUUCACACCAAUCUCCACCCCCAGAUAUCUCAAUCGGCAUGACAAGUGCUUAGCAAAACUAAGAAGCAAAAGGUUUAAGAACAAAGCUGUAAAAGUUUAUAUUCAGCUAGAUGCAUCACCAGCAACUUGACUACUUCUGCACAUUAGCUGGCAACCUCAGCAAAUAAAACCACAGGAUAAACAAGGUCUGCAGCAGUAUCUGGAAAAGUCACGCCUUCAUCUUGUAGUGUUCUGACCACCAACUGCAUUUCCAAAAGCCCGACAGAACAUUCUUCAGUGUUAAGUCACGUCAUGGAUAUCAAAAGUAACCAUAGUUACUUCACGGGCAACAAGAACUACGAGGCUGUUAUUCAAGGAGAAUGUAGAGGAUGGUAUUCAUCAUCGAGUAUCUACAUCACACUGUUUGAAAAAAGUUGCAGAGGUGGAUUACAAAAAAACAUUCAUUUUUAGACAGGAAACCAGUUGCCGUCCAACAAACUUUGACAAUCUUACAACUAGAAACCUGCAAUCGUGACGGUGAAGCCUCAACUGUGCAAAGAAAAGUUCCACUCUGAACCAGGCCCGAAGAGUGAACAAAGACGUAGACUUCGAUUACACUUUCGGAGUUCUUCCAAACUAUACGAGAAAGCAGUCCAGAAGCUCUUUCCUGAAAACCCAACCAGUACGAACAGAUCAUUCUUCCACGGAACGUUUUGAAAUGCAGCGACUCGUAAGCCUCCACUCACAUGCUUGAAGAAUUCCUUGCUUAAUGCCUACGCAGAAGCAUUUGUCCUAAACAUUAGAAGGUGCAUUAGUGCCACAACAUGGCUAUCCUUCAAGACAACAAACCCCUGCAUUAUUCAAUCCAAAAUGCACGCCAACACACCUUACUCCAAUGUAGACGAAAUUUUCCAUCCGUACAAACUUCUACCGAUGAACCAGACAAUCCUGCAUGACCAACAAUCCGAUAUAAAGGCAUCAAGAGGGUGAAUUAGACCCUUGGGUGAAUCACGAGCCAGCAUGCUGUAGCUUAGAUGCCAUUGUCAGCAUCGUUGAGAGGCGGGACCAUCAUCCCUUGUAAGAGAAUCCGGUAUGUGUAGGGCAUCCAUCGGCAGGUUAGGGACCACCCACUGCUGCCCAACAUAGCGAUUUGAUUAGCGUCCACACAAAAAAAGCUGCCAACUACCUGCACGACAGCAAGCAAAGGAAAAUUCCCAAUGGGAACGAAAGCAACGCCCACAGCAUGAACUGAUAGGGUAGCUUAAAUCAUUUGGCAUGGUGAAACAUGCUGCACACAUAAAUACGGUGGGACAAAAGCAAAGGAGUAAAAAUAAGCACAAAUUUUGUUUUGAUUAAAGAGAGAGAGCAGCUCUCAUGAAGUACAAGGUGAUUUAAAAAUCACCAGGCUCUCUAUAGUACACCUCAGGGUCACCCGUCGCAAGGGUGAGUACCCUUCUCAAUAACACUAAUCUACCGCAGCCGGCUUCUACAGCCAAGAAGACCACCGCAGCCAACUUCUACUUCUUAUGAGUCUUACUCUAACGGACAUGCAAGGACGCUUCACUUGCAAAUAUUCCUCCGGAUUUCCAUGGCAUCGCAUGAGGUAGCGUCCAGUCCUCCAGGCGCUAGGCUGACGAGCUGUUGAGCGCAUGAAAGAUGAAGCAGCGACGAGACAUUACCACCAAAUACGCGCGCCGUCGGCUUCAAACCGAACACGUUGAUCACUAUCUCAAAAACUCGACUUCCGAUCAACUGAUUUUCUGGAACUGCUCGAUUUAGUUGCAAGCAACAAAACCUGGCGUAAUUCUUUGAGGGAGAGACCCAAUGCUCGACGAAUUCUCCACCUUCCGGGUGAAAGGUCUCACAGCCACCGCGGCCCCGUUAGCCAAAUCCACGGCCAUGGAUAUGCUCUCCUCGGCUAUUGUGUCCAAUGAGCCCCGCUUCUUGGACAAGCUCUUCUCAACAACAAUAACUCGGGGUGGAGCGGUCUCCACCAUCGCACCCAACGCAGCCAUCCUCUCCAAGAUAGUCUCCAUCGUCUUCUGCCUAGGAGAGCACCGCUCGACAGUGAUCAUCUGAGGCGGCGCAGUUUCACACCACGAUCCCAUUCCUGUCGCACCCCUACCCAUUCCACUGCAACAAACACCGCCGAUCAACCCUGUCCAAACUCCUCCAAACUCCUCAUAAACGCAUUCAACACGCCGUUCUCCAAUUACACCACGCAAUCCAACUCCGACGAAACUCCGACCACCCCAAAAAACCCCAACGGCGGAAACGAGACAACAAGAAGAAGAAGAAGAAGAAGAAGAAGAAAACUUACUCCUCAACAACCGCUCCAGCCCAAACAAACUGGGAUCUAAAACGAGACACUAACGAUCAACUCCUUCACGACAAAAAAUACAGAACAGGUGCAGGUGAAGAGAAGAAUACACGACAAAGGCGAGAAGCAUGAUUUGGCAAUGACAAUGUAAGCGAAGCGGGGUCAUAUGCUGAAGUGCCGGGACAGAGAGAGGUAGAGCGGGGAAGGAGGGGGUAGACGGAAAUAACGGGCCGGGGACGGGCUGGGUCGGGACGAAACGGGAUGGGGCGGGGGCCGAGGCUGGUCCAAUCAUACCUCAUCGGGCCCUUAUGCGGUGCAGUGUGCUGAGAUGCCGACACCUGGUGGGAGCCGAACCCGGCAAACCAUGGGAACCGGAUGAACCGGGAGCAGCGUUUGUCCUGGCAGGCACCUAGACAGUCAUUCUCGGCGGCGAGGUUGAUGGAUUUUACCGGAGACGCCAGUUACAACUCCGCCAUUCCGUGGCUUCGACGGUAUCUGAAACCGACAACUCCUGCAGGUGCCGUGACGCCCCCUCAACCCCUCCCUCCACCGUCUUCCAGUUCGUUAUUCCUGACACAUCCAUCCAUGAAUUCAUCCAUAUGUAUAUCCAUCCGUCCUCCACACGUCCAUUCUUGACUUCGGUCUCACGGGACUUUUUUCUGGGUUUAACUUUUUCCUUUAUGAUUCUAGAAGGAAAACAAAUAAAUGAAUAAAAAUCACUUUGCCUUGAGAGCAAUAAACUAUUUGGUUAAUGAGCAUGGUUUGAUGGGUUGUGGUAUAGAAUAUCCAAUCUUUGGGUCCAUGUUCUUUGUAUGCUUGGUUUUAAUGGGGGGUUCAUGCUGAUGGGCACCAUUGAAGAGCAUCAUUUCCAAUGGUUGUAAAUGAACACUAUUUUAUUAUUUGCCUAACAUCUUCUAGUGUUCACAAUCAAAUGAGAUCAAGAACUUGAGAAAAUCAUUGUAUUUACCUUCAUUAGUGUGUAUUCAUUUGUUGUACGAAUCUUGGAUUCAAUUGAGAAAGCAUUGUUAAAUAAGUCAAUAUUCAUGUUACAUCAUUGCUCAAAGUAUCUGGGAUUUUGUCUCUAGCCUUGUUGAAACCAUCAAAUUUAUUUAUUUAUUUUGUGAUAAUUGCACAUGUGAUUGUAUAUUAACAUAAGCAUUUUUCAGUUUGUUGAGAUUUGAUCAGUUGUAAUUUGAAAGAUCAUUUGAUGCUUGCAAUCAGGAAAAUCACAUCACCUGCAAAAUACUUUGAUAAUGUAGUACAAAUCAUAUCAAUUUCGACAAAUCAUUCUUGGUGAAUCUUCUUCACAUCUGUAACAUCCAGAAAUGAACAAACAAAUCAAUAACAUGACAAUACCAUAUCAGAAUGUAUUACAUUUUUAUGUUUUUUGAAGUCUAAUAUAUAAUAGCGGAAUAGUUUUACUAUAAAAAAAAUCAUUGUACCAACUCCACAUUCUUUAUAAAUUUUGUAAAAAACAAAAAACAAAUUUGACUCUGUAUUCUAGUAUUGUUUCAAGGGAAUAAGUUGGAUUGAAUCUAAUAUUUUAUUUUAAAAAUUAAUAAUAACAGUCUAGUGUUCUAACCAAUUACUACACACAUUAUGGUAUACAUUUACAUCCCAAUUGUGUUCAUUAAUCCUUGACAUUACUUUUUUAAGUAGAAUUCAACAGUACAUUUCAUUUUGUCCAGUGUACUAGUCUUCUCAUAUUUGACUGUAAGUUCUUUGAAAUUUAAGUUAAAACUGAACAACUUAACCAUUUCAGAAGCUAGCAUGCUCAUUGAGAAGGAUACAUUGUGAGAAACUAGCAAAUAAUAAAUAUUACAUUAAAAAUACAUUGAAAAUAUAUAUAUGCACAACUAAUAUAAUAAAUACAUUCGAUUUAUUUUGGUUUUGAUUUUGAUUUUUUCAAAAUAGUUUCAAAUUAAGAUGGAAUGGAUGAUUUCACCAAUUAAUUUAUGUCUCCACAGUUUCAAAAACAAGUAUGCACAUUCUAUUUCCAGAAACAAUGCCUCUGUCGUGGCAAAUAAAAUCAAAAUGUUUGCAAACGAGAAAUAUACAAAAGGAUAAAAGAGACUAAGUUACAAAAACCAGGUUAGAUUCUAUAAAAUUAAUCAAAUACUGUGACUUCUUUUGUAUGAAGUCCAUGGCCAAGAGCCAACAUCCUUUUGCAUAUUGUUGUUAAAGAAAACUGUAUUCAAGAGUAUAAAAAUGUAAAACCUGUAGAAUAUCUGUGGGGAUGGGUUAAAUGUACACAUUCAAUAUAAAAUUGUGUAAAUUAAGUCAUUUUACUUAACCUCCACAUGAGAUUGGUUUAUUCAUUCACUAGAAUGAAUAAAAGAACCAAUGGAGUUGAGCUGAAUCCAAACCCCAUGUGCGCAGAAAAACCCCACACUCUAUUAUUGUUUUAGGGUGACCUCAAACAACACUCCACGUCCGUAUACUUUAAAAGUUUCUAGAAGCAUUCAGAGGCAUCCGAAAGGGAAAAGAGUGGCCUACUAUGGUUACUACUCGUCAAUAUGAAUGAACGUAUACGGUGGAUGAAUGAAUAGCCCACCUCGAGGGAGGGCGUACUUUCGUUCGUUCGUUCCUUCCUUCCUUCGUUCCAGAAAGUGCACCUUCUGAAUCGAAUCGUGAGCCCGUUAUUCAUUCAUCCAAAGGAUGGAUGACUGGGGCCGUUGGACUGAGUCUGUUUCCAGGAAAUGACUGGCAGGGGAGCUGAGGGGGGAUUCUGUUCGUUUUGGAUAUUGGAUGAAUGGUAUACCUUUCAUCCAUCACUUAGGCCCCAUUGAAAGGUCCCCUUGAGUAUCCUUGGGGGUAUCAAAGUGGCCCAAAGGAAUGUUUCGACUAAAAAUAUGGUGAAUUAUUGAAUUCCAUCCUUGGUGAACUAUUGCUUUGGAAUUUGGAUCCAUAUUCGGGAGUAUAAAUGUCGCUUAAAGGAACACCCUGCACUUAAUAGUAUUACCACAAUACUGUGGUAUUAGACCAGAAAAAUGAGCAAUAUUGUUCUUAUUAUUUUGGGUUAUGUUUUACAGAAAUCACACUUUACAUAAUUUUAAUUCAAUCACAAAAAUAAAAAUAAAAAACAAAAUAAUGUAUAGCUUUGGAAAAAAAGCAUGUUGAUUUUCUAACUUGUGAGCCUGAUUUACAAUUUUGUUGAAUUGUAGAUUAUCUGUUAGAAAAUCACACCCUUUUUUUCUUUUUUCUAUUUUCAAUUUUUAUCAUUUAUUUUUUAGUGCUUUACAUGAUAAUGUAGUUGAAUUGUAUAAUGUAUGUGUAAAAAAAAAGUAUAAAUAUAAUCUUACAGCAUAUGUGUGAUUCUUUUGAUGGUGUUAUUUCAAAAAUAUGACAAAGAGAACAAUCAAGAUUUAAACAGUAAACACAAGAUUCUGAAUAUUAUUCAUGGAUUGUUUUGACAAGUCGAUACUUGGGUGGAUUUUCAAAUGGCUUAUUAAAAGACACAUGGAGAUUGUUCAAAGAUUCAGUUCAUAAAACAUCAGAUCAAGUAUCAUUCUAACAUUUAUCACAAUUUCAAUUGAGAGUGAGACUUGGAUAUUUUGUCUCCAGUGGGAGCAUCAUCACAUGCUUAACACUUCACAACACCAAAACACAGUAAAUCUACUCCAUCCUCAAACAGUUAUUACAUUAUUCUCAUGCAGCAUUGGAAGCCCAAUUUGGUUGCAGUAGGUUCACCUUCUGUAGGUACAAGGACCCAGUAGGGAGAUAUUAAAACGACAUUUUUAGAAUUAAAAAAAAAAAAAAAAAACACACACACACACACUUAAUGACAGUGGGUUUGUUGGGGUCUGGAGGAGCAUCACCAAUAGAUCCACUGCUCAUGUGUGAUAUUUUUGAAAAUGCCAGGGGUGCAGAGAAUGGCAGAAGAAAUGAACAGAAACCCUAACCCCCCCCCCAAAACCCUAGAAACAAAGUAGCAGUGAUAGAUCCUUCAACUUCUUGUGUGCAUUUUGUGUUUUGUUUUUUUUGUGUCUCUGUAUGGAAGAAAAAACCAUCAACCACAGGUACUGCUGCUACAACAACAGAGCUUACAGUUAUUAACAAAAACAACAACAAGCAGUUGUAGUAAUAAUAACAACCAUGGAGCUCCCAGGUGACAAGGGUGGGGCAGCAUCCCACUUGGUGGCACUGGAGGCCCUACAGCCCUUUUAAUGAAAUUGCAAUGCAUGGGAUGACUCACCUACACUGACCCACUGCAGACUACCACCCACCACACUCUCACACACACACACAUGCAUACAGACAGUUGCUUAUCUGUUGGGUAGUUGAGCAAAAAUUAGGGCAUGAGAGGGCCCACAAUUUGUCCAUUUUUUCUUCUGCUUCUUCUUGUUUGUGGGUGUUGGGUUAGCUUAUGCUUGGUGGAGGUGGUCUUGCAUGUGCAGUUUUGUAAGGGAGGCUGUUGGGCCAGGUUAGGAACAAGCAGCACAUGGAAGGCCACCACACCUCAACCAAGGGCCCUCACACACAUGUGCUGCUUUAGGUGUCUGCCACUUUUGCUUUUCUUUCUUUUUGCACCUUUUUGUUUCCAUAUUCAUGUCUACUUUGCCUUGGCAUCCUUGUGCUGCUGACUCCAGUUGUGGUGAUGGCUAUGGUGGUAAGACUUGGGUAAAGGGGGAGGGCGGGAUUGGGUCUCAUGACCAUUCCUACUCCACCCACCCCAUAGCUGUGCCCAUGUGCAGUAGAAGGUUCUGGACCUACCCCUACCACCACACACACACUUACACACACACAUACAAACUCUCUUACUCACUCACUGGACCUAGUCAGGCAGGGCUGUCUAGUGUGGUGGUCAGAGUGGUGGCCCACACAAAGGUGGAGACAAAUGGAGCUUCUGCAGCAGCAGCAGCAGCAGCCCAUUCUGCAUAUUUUUUCUGCUUUUUCCUUAUUCCUCAUCAUCUUUGUCUUCUUCUUCAACCUUCCAUGGCAUGUCUGCAUUGGUUCAUCCACUUUUGUUGCCUAUGUACAUUUGUCUACAUUGUGCUUGAGGCUUUCCUCCUCUCUUUCCUUUUUUUCACUUGGCUCUGUUAAAAAAGUAAAUGAGGUGGUGUGGGACUUUUUAUUGAUUUUGUAUUUGGUUUUUUUUCCAUUGCUUGUGCUGCAAGGUGCCAUUGUUGGCUGUGGUGUGGCCAUAUUCUGCUGACCCACUUCUCUGUUUUUUAUGCUUUCAAUCCAAAUGAUAAGAGUGUUUGAUUCAUAUAUAUAUAUAUAUAUAUAUAUUCGUUUCAAUUGUAUGUUAUUUACUGUUGAAUAUUCGUUUACUUGUGUACACCACAAAUAUCAACCCACAUGUUUUCAAGGAAUGUUUGGCCUUGAAUGAAUUAAGGCACAUGUGUUUUACAAUAAAUGUAUUCUUAUCGUGGAUGAAAUCUACGUCAGAAAACCUGAGAGACUUCUUAAUGUACAUUAUGUAGAUUGGAUAAUUCUUCUUCAAUUAGCUAUUGAUUUCACCAAUCAAUAGGAGAAAAUUACUGGGAAUUUUGCAUCAUUUAAUAUAACUUACAUGUAAUUUUCAACAUAAAGCCUUGGAUGGAACUGGUCACCAAAUUUAAUGCAGUGAUUAUGUGGCUGUGAAAGUAUGUUAAAACAUGUAAUCCUUUGCUUUCAUGUCAGUGUUUGACAACUUUGAUUAUUUACUACAUAUAAUUUGCAUAUAAUAAAUUAUCAAAUACUCAUCAUCAUCUCUGGGUAUCAAAAUGCACAGUAAGGUAUGGUUGUUUUAGAAAAACUGCAGCACUAUUCAGAAAGAUUAACAAAACACAACCAUGACUUUAUGUUCCCUCAUCUUAUCAAAUUCAAAAAUAAUACAUGUAUCAAUAGGCAACAUUCUCUUACAUGAGAAGAUAGAACACAAAUUUUAUACAUUGCAACAAAAUAGCAAUGUAAAGCACACUUUGUUUGGUUUGUGUUUAAUCGAAGGAUUACAUGACAUGACUAAAAAAUCCCCAUUUUGGUAUUAAUUGCAAAGAAUCACUAGGAUAUUAACAUCAUGUACCAUGAUGAGCAUGACAUACAUAGUUCAAAAGCAUACAGAAAUCAUUGCUAAUCAGAAAAACUUUACAAUAUAAUCACGUCUUCAGAUAAGUUCGUAAAUUAUCUUUCCAGGGUAGGAAAAUUCAAUUUCGAAUAAUCCUUUAUUCAAAAUUAUAAUUUCCAAAAUUUAGUAAGAUGAGUGUUCUAGGCUCUUAUUAGGAAUAAACUUUAUAUUGAGUCCUAUAACCGACAGCUGCUGGGAGUGAUCAGUGCUGUAGAAGCCAUUUCAUUUCUGUGUUUUCAGAAGUAUAAAAUGACAAUUUUUGGCCAUCCACAUUGACAAAAACUUCAUAAAAAAACACCAAAACAAACAUUAAAUCUACAGAUUAUGCCACUACAAAUCUAUAUUUUAGGAUGGACUAAGAAUAUUUCAUAAACUAAAAUAGUACAGUUUCGAAGCAGAAUUACGAUUUGUUAGCACAAUGGGCAAACCCCUCCUUAGUACCUAAACUCUAUUUCAUGCUUGCGUCUUAUUAGUUAAUUGCUGCAUCAUGCAACGGAUUCCUUUUCAAUCAUUCCAUCUUGCGUGUCAUUCACAAUGACGACAUUGCCUCCAUCCACUACAAAUUUGGACACACACUUGAGAACAUUGCCAGCAUUACCAUAAACCGAACUUUCCACACCCCAACCCAAACCACCUAUAGAAUGCACAACUUCCGUCAUGACGUAGCCCAUUUUCGCUAAAACCAUCCUAAUUGAGUGCAAUGUUUACAUCAAUGUGCAGUGGGCUUUUCAAGCCUCUUCUUUACGACUAAUUCACCCCAAGCCCAUUCUCUCAUCCCUACACAUCCAACACUCACUACCGCACACUCUGCAGCUCUGACCUCGAUACUCCGCAGUCCCAGCUGCAGAUCUAUACGCCGCGUCAACCAGGCUAUCAACCAACCAUCAUUUGCCCACGUCCCUCCUGUAACUAAAUCAAUCUGCGGAGGUACUACUUUCCAGGACUCAUGUCGCCAACAUCGUUCGAACUAUACUUCCAACAUCACAUGUUUUCGCAUCACCCCUGAAAUCCGGAUUCUACCAUACUUGCAUUGAAACUCAUCCCUCGGCUUUCAACAAUUGCUUCUUACCCUCAAUCUACUUCCGGCAUUGCAAAACCAUCAAUCCUAGCUUCUCACAUCUUCCAUCCCUCAAACUUCUCUGCUUCUAUUCCCCUCUCUCAUAGACCUCGCUCCGCUCAUCUCUCUGCUUGCCCACUCUCCCAGUUCCCUCCCCAUCCACACAACUCCGAUAGCUCACCACUACCAUCUACCCGAUCUAAAUUCUCCGUCCUCACUUCCUCUCCACCCCAUGCUGCUACACACUACCGCAUUGCACCUCACACCCCACUUAUCGAUUUCCAUUCCACCAACACAUCAAACUCGGCUCCCGUGUGCAUCGCGACCCAACACCUCACAAUGCCCAAACAACCAUGCUCCUAAUUACACUUCCUUCCCACGUUCUCUGCGUAGAACACGUCUUCUGCCAUGCAACAUUCUCAGAAAAUUCUCAUAACUUGCCCCCGAAACUUACCAUUCCCAUCACCAUGUUUCGCCCAUUUCGAUCAUUCACCAACCCAUUCACCCAAAAACACUAUACCGAAAUCUGCACACAGACGACCAAACCGACAAGCCCCCGCCACAACCAUCUCUGCGACACCAACUUCAUCAACAAACCUUACUCCCGCUUAUGCUCCCCCUUACCACAACAUCCACGCUCGUCCACGACAUACUUCGUAUUACCCACUUGCAAACCCAUGCCUCAUUUCAUGACUAGCCACUCAUUCCCUCAAAAAACCAACAUCACGCACCUUACUCAAACCCACUACUACCCAACACAUCCGUUUAACCCCAAACACUUUUCCACAAUUAAUCCACUCAUCCCAUGCAUUCAGGCAUCCCACACUGCAUCGCAUACACUACACCCACUUCACCAUAAUCACAUCAUAUUCCCUCGGAGCCACACUGCUCCACUUUCCAAUACCUACAUCCACAUUCACCACCUACACUGCUACGCCACGCUCUUCACAGCUGCUCAUCGCGCUCACCAUCCUGCCCCUGCCUAUCGCGAACCCUCGUGUCCCAUCCGGCAUGCGAGGUCCUGGCGGCGGCUUUCCUAUCAUCUCGCUCACCACAUGUAAACCGUCCCGAGGUGGUGUCCCCACGUGCGUGUUGUAAAACUGCUGACCGCGACCCCGACCACCUCCACCCGUUCUCCCACCUCGGCCUCGACCUCUUCCCUUCUUGUUCACAUGAUCUCCGCCCUCACCCUGCAACCAUGCACACCAACACACCUAUCUCCUCAACAUCCUCUCACGUUUUCCCCUCCCACCCAUUCUCCCACUAUCCCCGCACACCAACACACUGCCUCCCGCAACUACCAAACCACCACCCGCCACGAAAGGACAAACGCCCACUCUAAUCCGCACAUCGCGUAGCUCACACAACUCACCAUAACCUCGUCGCCACGAUCUGCGUGAUGGUUGUGGCAUGUUGAUUCCCCACCAGCCUUGUCGCGAGAUCUGUCGGCGUCCUUCUCUGCCUUGUCACCGUCUUCAUCAUCCAUCACGAGAUCGAUGCCGUCCAUACUUGGUUUGCGCGUCCUCUGAUGAGGGGCCUGCUGGUAAUUUUGUUUGUUCUGAAACUGUGCACACGCACACCUCUCCCAUCAGGACCUUCAGCAUGCAUUAUGUUACAUGAAGGAAAUUGACAGGGUUUAUGCAAUUGUCAAGAAGGUGGUACGCGAAGUUUGAGUUGCGCAAGGUUCAGAAUUUGAGGUUAAUUUUUAUUACAAUCAUUUCAAACGGAUCUAUUUAGACAUAAAACUACAAAUAGGAGGAAAGUUUGCGAAAGGAGAGGUGCAUACCUGACGUCGCAAGAGCAAGCGCACACGUAGACCGCUUCUCCAGUUCCGCUGAUCUGUCAGCUCUGCUACCUGUAUACACCGCGACAGUGAAUUUAAAAAUUAAAAUGGAUAGUGAAUACAGUGGAACUAGCAGAAGUCCUAGUUGACAUCCAGCUGGUAUUGACAUCUAUAUUUGCAUGAAACAGAGUCUGGUUCAAAACGAAUGCAUCAAAUCGCAUUACAUCCUAGCAACACCUAACAAUGCAAGGUGCGAAUAAUAAAGUUGUUCGUUGCAAGUUGUAGUCGAUCACAAGCUACACAAGCCAUGAGCAGCAGGAAUAAAAUCGUGCGGAUAGUAUUGUAAAGUCAAAUUGCUCACAGCUUUUUCAGCAAGCUCCACGGUUUCAAACUCUACAAGCGCGUGCAACUGCAGGAACAAAAAAUCACGAACCUCACCCUAUUAAAUCACCACCUACACAGCAAAAGCAUUUGGCAGAACAGAAUCGCAGCCGCAGUCGCAGAAAUGCUGUCUCCAAUUCAGGGUAUUGCUGACUUUCACAUACCUAUGACAACAUCUAGUACACCCCUUGAACAACAAAACUACCGUGAACACAUUAUCACUGCCACAAUUCCUGUUCACCUUGUUACUAAUCAACAUGUCGGUCUUUGGAUGCUUUGCUGCAGUUGAAUUGGCUCCAUUGGCAGCCUCUGGAGAACAAAUUCGAACCAUCUUCACUGUUCCGACUUUCCGAAACAACGGUUCAAUGGUCUCAAUAGAAGGGUUCUCUGGCAAAUUUUCAGCUACAACAGUACGUGCCUGCUCAAUAACGACACAUUGAGUUGUCACAACACAGGGUGUUUGAAGGGAAAAAAUGUUCAGACACCAGUGACACAAUAGUUCGAUGAAUGCAUUAUAAUUAAAAUCACAGCUGGAGCUGUUGAGAGAGUAAAUAAUGGUAAAAUCCAACAACAAUUCAAAACAGUAGCCAAUUCGUGGAUCUUAAGGUGUGUCCCAAUAAAACGGCAGAAUAAAGAGACCUGAAUUUCCUCGAGAUCAACUUCUGGGAGUGGAUGCGCUCGCCGGACUUUUUUCCCAUCCUCGCUUACCACCUAUUUUGAGAACCAUGUUUAUAGCGCAAGCAAAGAAUUGGUCCAAAUCUUAAUCAAUAUGAUUUACAGCGGAACAAACAAAUAGCCUUGACAUUGAAUGCACACAAUCAACUCACCAACUGUGUCGAACUUCGCAACGCAGCUGCCACGACUGAGUGAUUCUUCACCAAGUUCUUGAUCUUCCUGAACAACGCCACCACAGGAAUCGGGACUGCAAUCACCCAACUAAUUUCUCAGUACGACUGGAUCUCCCAUUGUGCAGGGGGCGGAAGGCUAUGCAAGACAAAACUUGCACAAAGCAGAGGCCAACAAACAACCGAUUUAACACAAUAAUCAACACUGCAGAAAAAAGACCAUUUAUUCGCACGUACCAAACCCUUCGGGAUCCUUCUUCACAAACUUCAUCAAGUAAUUAUCUGUUGGGAGGUUCGCGUCGCUGAAGUAGAAUUCUACCUGCACACCAUGCAAGCUUCGUUAAUUUUACACAUGAAAAUAUAGGCAUCUCCCACUCAACCACUUACAUUGAAAUCUCACCUACAUGUGAUCCUCAAACAGGUUUCUAACCCCGAUUUACAUUACAGAUAGUUGAGCAGCAAAUACGAAUAACCAUGACCCAAUAAUCUUAGAAGUAUAAAGCACCGUUCCACCCAGGAUAAUUAACGCCUGUGUUUUCAAAAUAAAUCCAUUAAUUUUAGAGAAGUUCAUCCAAACGCUUAACAUCUUCUUUUCAUUUAAGUGUAGUAGAACAUCAUUCUACAUUUUAAAAGUUUAACUAUAGAAGCCUCUGCGGGUGAGAAAAUAUAACAUACAUGAAAAGAUUCAGAAAAUGCAUUAGGAGAGUCUGCUAACCGAUAAGAAAAUACGUUGAAAAUUGAAGUUCCAAACUGUGAAACUAAUCUCCACAGUUCUAAUGACAAUAUGAAGCUUCACUAGAAAGCUCAUUCAUAGCCCUCGCAACAAACCACAUUUCAACCAUAUCCAAGAGAGCAUUAAAACCGGCAGAAGUAAUCACACCUGCUUCACAAUCUUGGCCUUCAGCCCCUCCGUAAGCACGGCCUUUGCAGGCUGCACAGAAGUAGCUGGAAUUGCCUGAACCUGCUCGCUCUCCCCACCAUUCUCCUCUAACAGGAAGACAUUAGGACCACCUUUUGCAACAGCUUCAUCACUGCUAGGUGGAGACUCUGAAAUCUGGUACUCGACAGUAGGAACCACAACGUCCGGCACAAAUUUUGACGAGGAAGAGUCCGUCUCGGACGGCGGAGCUAUUAUCACGGGAAUCACAGAAGAUGGAGCUUGAAUCAAAGACAUAGGACUCAGCCCUAACUCUUGAGGCAGUUCUGACACCGGUAAAGACGUGGAGAAGGCUAUCUGCAGUCCCUUAGGAACAAAUUCAGGUGCUCCUGCAUUCAGCUUGGACCCCGAUAGAGACCGACUGAGAAGAUGUACCUUCCUCUCACUUCUGCCAUCGAAGGCCUGACAUACAAAUAUAUUAGUCAGAAAAGAAGCAAACAAAUUUUACUAAAACACCAAUUAAACUAAAUAAAAAAGGAACUUCAAAACGAAAAAUAAAUAAAUAAAAAGUACACAAUCAUAGAACAACCAUUCAGUAAUCAGUCCUUAUCUGAUCUGAAAUUAAGACACACUCUGCUCGAGAUCAUACGCUGGUAGACCCAAGUGGAACUCAAAGCACAUAAUGGUAUCGCAAUUUACCAGCAUCGAAAAAAACAUACGAUCAUUGAACAGUACUCGUCGACAAUUAAAAAAAUAUCGAAAUAACAAAACAAAUGGGAGGAAAGGACAACAUAUGGAUGGGCUCCAUGCAAGGGAACAAGCUCAGAUCAUGACACGAUGGUUGGAUAACCCACUUAUGCAGAAACUCUCAUUACAAGGUAACUGGUGGAAUAAAGGGAGGGAAGACGAAAACAGGUGACAAUAGAAAAAUGGCCAGAAACCCUAAAUUACUCCGAUUCGGGCCGACGACGUGAAACACAGACAAUAAAUUCCCUCUUUCAAAGUAAACUCUAAGUGUACCAAUUCUACUCUACCUCAUACCGAUACAAUCACUCAUUUCAACCGAAUAUUCUCCACAAACCUAAGUCAAGCAUACGAUCGCUGCAAGAUCGGAGCUAGCAUCGCCAAUCCCAACCACGAAUGCAAUCCCCUUCACCGUCACCUCACAAUUCACAACCACUAAAAUCCAGGUCCAAAUCAAAAACACCGCUGAUCAUGCCACACUCGCACCGAACUCGCAGAUCUCGCCACCAGGGUUCUAACCCGAAGCUCCGCACCGAUCAUCUGCCCGCUCAACGACAUAAAAAUCCUCACAUCGCACACCUCAUGUCCGCCAUCUUCACCCAAACCCCUGUACAUCGAAACUCACAACGGGAUCAAACAAAAGCAACCAUGGCACACCUGAGGAGGAAUGCCGCGAGCGGAAGAUGUCGAAUACGUGCGGCGAUAUCGGACCACAUCGAUGGGCGGAGUGCCCGUGCCAGAGGCAACCAUGGCAUGGGACAAGAGAGGGACACCAGCAGCCCGGCGGUGGUGUUGGUGCUGCUGGUGGUUCUGCUCCUUGGUCGUCGUCGACAUGGACACCGGUGCCGUGGCCAUCACCAUAGGUGCGGCGUCGGCAGCUCCGACAGUGGAGCGAGGACGGUGCUGGGCCGUGGCGGCAGCAGCAGCAGCAGCAGGGGGCGCCAUGAGCGGAGCCCGUCUAGUUGCGCUGCUCUCCCAUGGCCAUGGCGUCCAUGGGCGCUGCGAAGCUCCCACUCUGCGACGAAGGACCUCAGCUCCGCCUUCUCGCCGGUGCUCAAAUCCCCGCUGCUUGAUGCGGCCGCUGCUCCCCCCCCCUGUUAUGCGAGACGGGACGACGACCGUCGUGCACUGCGUUCCCCUCCUAUCGCACGCCGUUCUUGGCGAGUUCCUUUCGGGAGCAUGGUUCCAUCUAACGCCCAUUGUUUUAAGCAAACAUUCUCUUGCUCACAAGAAAAUAUUUGUCUUCAAAAUCUAUAUCAUUAUAAAUGUAUGUAACCUUUUCAUAUAACCAUAAUUUUUUUUAGAAUCUUGUUUGAUUUUGAUUCGUGAAUGAAUGGACACCGUUUGAGCUUGAAUGAUUAGUUUGGAAUUUUGUUUUCUUUUUUAGUUUUCUCUUUUGUGAAAUAUUUUGUACAACAAACAUAAGUUUCUUGAAUACAAAAGAGAACUUCAGUCUUUGAAAUUCGAUUUUAAAGUUACUUCUAAGCUUGGCAUUUUGGAUUAACUGUAGGAUUUGGCAUCAGCGUCCUUAUGCUAUACUUUUCUUCUUUUAUUUUAUUUUUUAUUCUUUUCUUUAUUAAAGAUUUAUGCUUUUUCUAUUGCUCACGAGAUUUUUUUAUAAGAAUUCUUUUUAUCAAGCCCAAUCUUCAAAUAAAUAAAUUUUAUGAAAUUUGAAGUAUAAAUUAAUAAUUUCAAAAUUAUAUGAUUUUAAACUUUUAUUUUUAAAGAUAUUUGCAUUAUUAGUUAAAGUCUAAAAUAUUUGACAUUAGUAUUUUUUAUACAGAUAAAUUUAUUUAUUUAAUUUAUGCUAGUGUCACCACAAUUUUUGUUACUAGCACCACAACUUGUCACCUAGUCAACAUAUUUCUUUAGUUUUUUUUUUUUUUUUUUUUUUAAUUCUAAUUAAUAACCUAUUAAUUUUUUCAAUAUAUAUAUAUAUAUAUAUAUAUAUAUAUAUAUAUUGAACUAUAUAGAAAAUAUAUAUAGAAAUAUAUUGAUCUAUAUAGAAAUAUAUAUAUAUUGAACUAUAUAGAAAUAUAUAUAUAUCAAACUAUAUAGAAAAUAAAUUUCAUUCUAACUAUAAAUAAAAUUUAUUAAGAACUUUUUAAUGCUAAUAUUUGUAUAUAUAUAUAUAUAUAUAUAUAUGAAGAUAGUACUUUCUUAUUUAGCAUUGACAAAAGAUGUAGAUUGCAUGUGGUGGAUAGUGGGUUGAAGUGAAAGCAACAAAAACUAUUGUAGCAUCAACAAUACUUUAUAUAUACAUGUACAUAUGCAUGCAUGUAUACAUACAUACAUAAAAUAUACAUAACUAUUUAUAAAUUAAUUUAAUGGUGUAUAUAUAUAUAUAUAUUAAUAAAAAGAGAUAUUUAAUUAGUGAAAAUUUUAAAUGAAUAUAUAUUUUUCAAAAAUAUAUUUAUUUAAUAAUAUAUAUAUAUAUAUAUAUACACACAUAUCAUUUUAUUGAAUUAGUACAUCUUUAAAAAAAUAAUAGUUUUGUUAAACUUCAAUGUAAAUCUCUUUUUGAUAUUAUUUUGUAUUGUUGAUACUCUUUUGUUUAUAAUUUACAUUGAAUUUUUUAAAAGAUUUAACGUGUUUCUCAAAUUAAAAAAAUUGGACAAUAAAAAUCAAUAUGUUUUAAACUAAUAAAAUAUCAAAAAAUAUAUACAUUUUAAAAUUACAUUUUAAAAAUAAAUAAAUAAAAUAUAUUGUGUUGCUAAUGCCACUACAAUUCAGCACUUACUUGAUAUAUUUCUUUAGUUUUUUACAUUCCAAUCAAAUAUUAUUAUUAAUAGUUAUACAUUUUUUUCUUACAAAUUUUAUAAAAAUUAAUUUUAAUUUUAAUGAACAGUAAUCAAUCAAGAAUCAAGUAAAUAAGAAUCAAUCAAGAUAAUAGUAACAAUAGAUUUUAGAUCAGUGUAUUUUAAAAUCCACAUGUACCAAAUUGAACACUUAUUCAACACAAAAUUUUAAUUGAAGUCACCAACUUACACUUCACAUUUAAGGUACAAACGCCAAAAAUUAUGUUACAAAACUUAUAUUGUAUACUUCUACAAAUACAUACAUUUGUACCUACUAUCCAUCUCAUCCUUAGUAAUUGAAUUGAUGUGACUCCAUUGUGAGGAAGAAUGUCAAAAUGUCUCAACAUAUGGGAUGCGUUCCCCAAGUGCCAGGGACUUCACAACUUUUUGCUUUUAAACCGCACUUUUAUUCUGUCGUCGAGGAUGUCUAACCUCAAAGGAAAAAGGCAAAAGCCAUGCUCAGGUGUGCUUGUGGGGCAGAGUUGUUCCGUGACAAUGGCGAUGGUGGCAGCUUCGGACGGAGCUGAUGCGGAACGAUCCCCGUUCCUCGUCUGCUGGGAUCGGCACCGCCUCACCGCGCCUUCUACAGUCGCUGAUUCCAAGUGAAUUCGGUGAGGGUAUACUGCAAUCCGGACCGCCUGGAAAUCAGCAGAUGCAGAUACUUACCUCGAGGCAUUGCUUUUGGAAGCUUGAAGUGUGUUUCUUCUUCGAUGCGCGAGUCGUGAGAUCCCUUUGGCUCUCGUCCAUUAGGUCCUGGUUUCGCGUUUCGGUCCUUUAGGGUCUCCCUUGUUUGCCAGGCUUUUGUUUCUCGUCAGGAGUUUCUGAGGCUGCCACAGAGGUUUUGUCUUGUGGUGUAGCGUCUCAUUGUGAAACCCUUUCAAAUUACACACCUGAUGCUGUGGAAUAUGAAAGUUUUGGGUGUCGUUUUGUAAAGAUGACCAGCAGCCUGACAAGUGGGUUGUUUAGGGGCGAGGGGUUGGUCUUACGCACUCUCGAGGUUGAUCGAAUUCGGGUAGAAUGUGGCAGGAAAGGAUUGUAGCUGUUGUGGAUUAAAAGAACUUGCUGCAUUUCGAGCAACUUUCAAUGUUCGAGUUUGCCCCUGGUUGUGCAUCGUACAGACAAGAAACUUUCUCGUGGAGCUCUGGUAGAGGAGAGGGUUCAAGGGGAAGUAGCGGUGGAGAAGGUGGGGGAAUUCGAGGAUGUUAAGAAGGCUAGGCCAAGUAAUGUUGUAGAUUCUGCGAAAGGAUUGGAGAAAAGGGUUAUCAAAGGAGAGCAGGCUUUUAAUCAGCUCGCCACUGACGCUGUAAUUAAAGUUUUAGAUGUCUUCUACAAGAACAGGGAUUAUGCGCGUUUCUACGUUUUGGAGACUAUUGCCAGAAUUCCUUACUUUGCGUUUGUCUCAGUUCUAAACAUGUAUGAAAGCUUUGGUUGGUGGAGACGCGCAGACUACCUCAAGGUUCACUUUGCGGAGAGCUGGAAUGAGCUCCAUCAUCUCUUGACCAUGGAGGCAUUAGGUGGAGACGAGCGAUGGGUGGAUCGCUUUUUGGCGCAGCAUAUCGCUGUCGGUUAUUACUUCAUGACGGUAGUUAUGUAUUUACUGAGUCCUCGAAUGGCAUACCAUUUUUCGGAAUGUGUUAAGAAGCAUGCUUUUCACACAUACGACGAAUUUAUUAACUUAAAUGCGGAGGAGUUGAAGAAUUUGCCAGCUCCUGAGGUCGCAGUGAAGUACUAUACUUCUGGUGAUCUGUACUUGUUCGAUGAAUUUCAGACUGCCUGCCCUCCAAAUACGAGGCAGCCAAAGGUCGAAAACCUGUAUGAUGUAUUUUGCAACAUUCGAGAAGAUGAAGCAGAGCACUGUAAGACAAUGUUAGCUUGUCAGACGCGAGGAAAUUUACGUUCCCCUCAUAGUGCAAUGCAUGCUCCAGUUACCUUGCCGACUGGUGCGUCAUCAGCUACUGAAGAAGCGAAAUAGAAUUUGUUGGGGGUUGCCAGAGAUUUACCACCUGCAGAGUGCGCAGAUACUAUUGAGUGCGCAUUGACCUCGAGCUCAUUCGUUGAACGAGCACGAAGAAAUGGUAUUGAAGUGAAUCUUGAUCGACUUCCCGAGUAGUGGCAGUGUACAAAAAAAUUCUUGUAGGCCUCGUGCUGCGUAAGGUUGCGAGGCUUUGUCUGAUUCGCACCUUCAACCAAGUGUUGAGUGCUUUGUUUAUAAAUUGUGGUGUUCUAUGUGCUGGUCUUAGGAAUUAGCCCUUCUAAUCUGAAUUUAAUGUUCACGCAUCUGUGCUUGUUGGUCUCAUGUUCGUGAACUGCUACAGAAUUAUCAAUUGGGCUGCUUUUGUGUUUUUUGGAUGUGUGAACCCCAUUUCAUACAUGAUAUUAUCCUGAUUCACCAGUCAUAUCCGUGAGUACCGACUUGGUUCUCAGACUAUAUAGCUCUCAAUCUUUGCUUAAGUGGACGAGAGGUUAUAGUCCAGUAUGUAAUCAAUUUACUUGUUGAAAACUCGUCUAAUUCUCGAUGUGCUACAACCUUGCACAAGGAUCAGAAUCCUUUGAUUGGUGUUUCACUUGACAUCGCAUAGUUCACAUGAUGGUAAGUUAAUUAAGACGGAGUUGUCAGAGACGAAGCAAAGUGACUGGAGGAGCGGUCUAUCAGUUAACGUAAUCUAAUAAAUGUAUAUACGAAUUGGCUGCUACUGCUUCGAAGCAGUAUUACUUGGAUCGAUUUGCAAUGCAAGCAGAACAGGUAUGGAUUUAAUUUGUUGAAUGUGGAGAAGUAGUCCAGGUACGAUUGUGACAACACCUUCGCAGCCGAUAAGUGGUUCGACAGGGGAACGUUACCUGGAUCAAGAGUGUUAUUUGGGCAGAUUUGCCGCACUCUGUGUGCUCACUCAGACUUCCCAUCUGCAUGUUUUUACUUUGCAUCACAUGGGCAGUGACUUGGGCGACGUCAUCUAAGUGUCAUGCUGACUUGAUUCUCAUGGUGACUUUUAAAACAAGCUCAGAUUGGAACAGAAGUCUCCUUCCAUUCAGUGAUACAUUGCAAGUUGGUCUCAGGAUCUUCUAAUCUGGUCCCUAGAUGUGCAAAGGUGAAGCUCUGGAUGAUUGAACAGCUUGUGUGAGGAGAAUCAACCUCCACACUUCAGGGAGGAUGUGUUAUGAAUGAAUGGUGUUCAUCAAAAUUUUGGUUAGCUGUGAAAUUCUUCUCUAUGCCUGUUAACUUGGGUUGCUUUUGAAUCCACAUGUGACAAGCUCAGGGGAAGAUUCUUUGUCUCAAAAUGAUACUAUACACUUGACAUGCAAUAAUAUACAAGAACAAUAGAAUCUCUACGAGUGUUGGGAUUUGUGCUUGAAAUUUCAUGUAUUAUAAUGAUCUCUAUUGUUUCAUGUACUAUGAUCUCCAAUUUUUGUAAUAUUUCAGAAAAUCUGAAACAAAUAUGUAAAGGACUUUAAUUCUUUUCCUAUUAUUCGUCAUGCACUAGGUGCAUGAAGAACCCUCUAUGUAAAUAUCACUGUGACGAAAAUUGUCCAUAAGUAUAGUUUUGGAGGUUGUUAUGCUAUUAUUUUAUUAUUUUAUUUUUUUUUAUUUUUUUAUUAUGGAACAUCAAAUAUAGAGAUUGGAUGGUUGAAAUUUUAACAAAUGUUUACGAAGUCAAUGAGAAGAUAUCAAUAUAAAAAACAUAAAAAAAAAAAAAACAACAUAAAGAAAUAUGAUGAAGAAAGAACAUAAUUUUUGAAUAAAAGAAAAGAAAGGAAUAAGCUUUAAUGGUGGAUCUUAAAGUCUUGGGCUCUAUUUCUACAAUUAUUGAACUAUAGUUUAAUUGAUAAUAUAUUUAAAAUCAAUGAAUGAAAUAAUAAAUUUUAUAUAAAGAAAAUUAAUUUUUCUUUGAAGAAAAGAUCCUAAAGCUUACAAAUAAUUUUGUGAAUUGAAUUCACUAUAUUAUUCUUACAUAUGAUUGUAGAUAUAGUGUUUUUGUUUUUUUUGUUUUUUUUUGAAAAAUCAAUAAUAUGUUUAUUAAUUUUCAAUUUAUUUUUCUAAUCUAUUUUAAAUAAAAAUUUGACUUUUAAUUCUACUUUGUCGUAGUUCAAUAAUGCUAGUUUGCUAACAAAUUUUGUAAAUUUUUCCAUGUUACAAAGAGCUUUUGCAUACAUUAUUCUUAAUAAAUGACAUAGAGCUUCUUUAUAUCAUUAUUUUAUUAAAUUUUUAAACUUUAGAAAAUAAUGAGCUAAGCUUAUUGUAUCUAAAUUCACUUUGACAACACUUUUUAUGUCUCUUGCAUUAGUUAAAAAUAAUAAGUUAGAAAAAAAGCUUACUAAUUAAUGAAUUUAUAGAGGUAAGUCCUUUACACAAUGUAAUAAUUUUAUUUUAUAUGUCUUUGCUACAAACAUUAUUAUUGCCAAUUGUUCAAACAACAAGAGAUUGGAUAAAUAAUCUUAUUAUCACAAAAUCGUAACAAAUAUAUUUAUCAAUAUUUUAGACAAAUAUAUUAGAAUUGGUGCAAUAAUUUGACCUUAACAAUUGUUUACACUACUAGAUCUCUAGGGAGUAAUUCACUUCUUUGGAAUUAUACAUUUAUAGUAAGAACAUUUGAGUUUGACAUGUAUAUUUUUUAGUAUUUUUUUUUCAAGACUUUGAUGGCAAAGUUGGUGAAUAAUGAGAAAAGAAGUUAUUUUUUGGUUAUUUAGAGAUAGGUAAAAAAAUAAAAAAUAAAAAAAUAUAGAUAGUUAAAUAGAAAUUUAAUUUAUAAUAUAUAUAUAUAAUUUUUAAAAUUCUUAUAAAAAUUGGAGCUUGUAAAUUUGGAGAGUGGUAUCAAAUGAUAUUGUUAACAAUUUUUGUAACAAUUCAAAAACUUUUAAAUAUAAUUAUGAUGUAAUGGUCUAAAAAGAUAUUUCUAUAAAAAUAAUGUAAUAUAAAAUUAUAUAUGUUAUUUAUUUAUUUUUAAAAUUUUAUCAUAAAUAUUGUAAUUUGGUAAUUUAAUUAUAUACUUUGUACUUUUAGUUUUUUUCUACCAUCUUGCAAGAUUUUUAAUCUUUAUUUUAAUAAGAUGAUAUGAAUUAUAUGUAAGGUUUUCUUAUUAUUCACUAAAAGUGUUGUACAGAUCAAUACAUGUCUGAAAAAUCUGUUUAUUAUCCAAAAAAUUUAUAAAAAAGCUACCAAAUAAUUGAUUAUAUAUAUAUAUAUAUAUAUAUAUAUAUAUAUAUUGUAAUUAAUUAUGAAUUUUCUUAAAGUUAUUUUUUUGUUGCUCUAUUGAAAAAGCAAUACAAAUAUUAUUAAAGGACUUUCCUAGUUCUUCCAUAUUUUGUACUGCAUCAUGGAAUUGGCAUAUAGAUGAAAAUAUAUACAAUAGUGCUACAGUGAUGCUACUCAAGUUGUUAAUAGAUAGAACAAUCUAAUAAGCACUAUCUCUAUUUAACUAUUGCUUAAUUUAUUAACUUUAAUGCUAAUAAAUUCAUGACUAUUAUAAAACAUGAUAUAUAUAUAUAUAUUAGAUUAGUUUUUGGUUAUUUUUUAUGUCACUACAAUUAUUGCUAUUGCAACCACAGCAUGCCACUUGUUUCAUAUAUAUAUAUAUAUAUAUAUAUAUAUAUAUAUAAUAAUAUUAAUAAGAAAGAUUUAAAAUUUAAUAAGAAUAACUUGUGGUGGAUUUAGGAAUAUUCUAAUUUAUAUAUCAAUUAAAAUUAAUAUAAAAAUAUGUUUUAUCAUAUGUUUUAUCAAUCACAUUUAUAAAGAUUAUCAUAUUCUUUAUCAUAGAUAGGUAAAUUUAAUAAAAACUUGGGUCUAUUUAACAUUCUCCUAAAUUUACAAUGUGAAAAUAUCACAAUAUUCUACAACACCUGAUGAAUUUUUUAAUUGCAUUAUUAUAAAUGUAUACUUUUUUAAAGUAAAACAUGUAAGUCUAAUAAUGAUGUUAUUUGUAAUUAUAAAAUUUUAAAAGCACUCAAUUAUGCUAUGAUAAUACUAGUAAAAAAAUUAUUAUUUAUUAUUAUUAUGAUUAAUCUUCAUUUAACUCUUCACAGGACUAUGAUUAAAUUCUCUUUCUCUCUCGCAAUACACAAACAUAUACAUAUUGACAAUUAAAAGUGAAAAUAAUUAAAAUGGUGUCACCAAAAACUAUACAUGAUUCCCCGUGUAAGGAGUGAGACGGGGAGAGCAAUUUCAAGAUUUAAACUUUUCGGUGAAUUCAAUGAAUUAUUAACACAGCUGGUAAAAAACAUCGGAACUGUUCUUCAACAUCGCUAGCCUAUUUCAUAUUUAUGCUUUCAAAUAGUGUUACACAGAACUAAUAUCGAUUUAAUAUUCCUCCAUAAGGCAUGCAACUGUAAACAACGUCCUUCGAUCACAAAAGAUUGUUCCUCGAUUGUAAAUGCCGCUCUGCAGUAUUAAAUAACGUUCUUCAAUACUUAACAAUAUUCUUCAAUUACGAACAGCCACAACAUCUUUCCGAAUGUAUCGUACCUGAGUUUCCACAGACGCAGCCACACGAUGAAUGCCACACCGCAAUAAACACCACGUUGACGCCAGCGGGAUUAUGCAGUACCUGACAAAAAAGUCAUCGUGUGCUAAGAAUCCAAUCAAUCUGCAGAGUUAUGGAAGGUUGCAGCAGGAGUGUGUGCGCGACAGCCUAUUCGAUAUGAUUGACAAUUUAAACAGAAACCUCACAUGGUCUCUCACGUCGGUAAGACGCUGACGACAAACCAUGAAUAUUUAUCGCGACAGAGCGACAGCAGCUCAAAGGGUUCAUGUCGCCAUCACAAAUGCCAAACGAGAGUCACGAAAACAUUUCAAACUCCAAAUCUGCAAAAGAGUAGAUCGGCGAGGGGCAUCUUUCAAUUGGCACUACAGACAAACCGCGUCCCAAGACACGGCACACAAUAACGGAACAAUGGACAAUCGUAACCGUAGCACAAGAGCCACACCGCAUCUCCCAGUCCAUCAGGGGGUCUUCGAUUACCGACGUACGCGUGUGGGUUUGGAGUCUCUUGGAGGAAGGGAGGAUGGGAUCUAUGCAAGAUCAGUUGAGUUGACUUGGGAGCGUUGGGGAACCCUUGUGCGCGGAUGAGGGGCGUUCGCGUUCCCAGCAUCCUCGCGGCCCAUGCCGCAAACGGUAGGAAGCGUGGUAUGUGUCAUUGGGAGCCAUGGAGAGAGUAGGGCGUUGAAGGGUACAAAACAGAGAGGAGCACGCCUGGUGUCCAGGCCCUUCGUUUGAGGUCGGGGCCUCUGCUGCAGGGAGGCAAUGGCGAUGGAGGUGCAGCAGCUCUAGACGGGCUCCGCUCAUGGCGCCUCCCGUUGCUACUGCAGCUGCUGCGCCAGCCCAGCCCCGUCCUCGCUCCCCCGUUGAACAUGCCGAUGCUGCACCCAUUCCUGUGGUGAAGGCACCUGCGUCGUCGACGACGACGAUGAAGGAGCAGAAUCAGCUUCACCAGGACCGCAGGGAUGGCGCGCCUCUCUCCGCUUAUUCCAUGAUUGCCUCUGGCAUGGGUACCCCGCCCAUUGAUGUGGUCAAAUUCCGCCGCACGCAUUCGACGGCUUCUGCCUACGGCGGCUUACCUCCUCAGGUGUGGCUUGGUUGCUGGUGGUUUUGAUUGUGUGAUGGGCUUCGAUGUACGGGGUUUGAGUGUAGAUUGUGAGUAUGAGGUGUGUGAUGUGAGGAUUGUCUGUUGUUGAGAGAGCAGUGUGGAGCCUCAGGUUGGAAUUGCGGUGGCGAGAUCUGCGAUUUCGGUUGGAAUAGGUCGUGAUCAGCGGUGCCUGUGAUGUAGGCCCUGGUUGUAGUGGGUGUGAGGUGGAUUUGACGAUGGAAUAGAGUGCCGUCGUGGUUGGGAUUGGCGAUGGCAGUUUCGAUCCUGAAGAGAUCGUAUGCGUGGCAUAGGUUUACGGGGAAUGUGUUUGGGAGAUGAGUGAUUCGAGAGUUUUCGCUGAUGUCAGGCAGAAUAGCUUUGGCAAAGUAUCAGAUUGAAUCGGAAAAGCAGGUUUUGGACAAGUUGCUGGUGAUGGGACUGCGUGAAAUGCCUCUGGGUAGGGAAUUCUGGUUGUCCUGAGUCUUGGCUUCUUGGUUUUUUUUUUUUUUUUUUUUUUUUUUUUUUUAAUAAUUUAAUUUUAAAUUUCUUUCCCUUGUUUGGUCUGUUCCUCAUGGUUGCAUACCUUGUGAGUAUUUCCAUCUCUCUUGUAGCCUUUCCUAGUUCUCAUUUUCAUUCUGUCUACUGCUUGUCCGUUACAACUGGUUUGAUUGCGUAACUUUUCAUCGCGACUUUGACAGUUAGCAAGAAAAUGCGUAGUCAUUCUGUGCAUUGAAUUUUAAUUUGCAACAGUAGAUCUUUUGAGCAUUUGAUUUUGAGCCAAUUUGUGCUGAGCCAAUUUGAGGUUUGUUUCAGGUGUUUGCUAUUUCUUGCGACGCUCUCGUGUCCUAGUCUUUGUUUACACUCCUCGGUUCCCAUGGUGACAGAGCACUAUACAUGCCUUCACAGUUGUGCCCUACGUGCUCACUAGCCAUUCUGAGUGUUGCAUCGAAGAAACGUCUAUUUUUUUGUUCUUUGCUACGCAUUUAUCUAUCUGUCUAUCUAUAUAUAUCUUUUGUACUGACCACUCGAUGUGAAUACCAGAUCUUAGAUUAUAGACGUGGCAAGAAUGACCGGAAGGUUCCUCUUCUCAGUCGAUCUUUAUCGGGGUCGAAGCUGAAUGCAGGAGCUCCUGAAUUUGUUCCGAAGGGACUGCAGAUAGCUUUUUCUACGUCUUUACCGGCACCAAGGCGUGCUCAAGAAUUAGGGUUGAGUGCCCCGUCUUUGGUUCUUUCUCCAUCGUCUGUGAUUCCAGUGCUUGUAACUCCACCGUCUGGCGUUAUCCAUGCCGUGCCGGCGGUUGCCGUUGCCAAGGUUGAGGAACAUGUCGCAGAGUCUCGACCUAGUGUUGAUCGGGUUCUCGCAAAAGAUGGCACAGGUUGCUCCGAUGUUACGGUGGCAGUGGAGCAUAGUGAGGAGUGCGACCAGACUCAGGCAGCUUCAACCUCUGUGUCACAGCCUGUUAAACCAAUCGUCACGGAGGAGCUGAAGGAUAAAAUAUUGAAGCAAGUAUGUUUGUUUCGAACUUUUGAAUUACUUUUGUCGGGAGGUUCAUUUGUAAAGUAGAGCUUGCGAACAAUGCGCAUUUUCUCCUUGAAGCUCUAGUAUGACCUUGUGGAUAAUUUAGUGGUUUUAGUUGUGGCCUUCGAAGUAGAAUCUUACACGCAUUAUCUUUGCUGUAGAAGUUUCCACUUGGACAACCUCUACACGUGACAACUCGCGUUGAAUGAGUUGUUUUUGAUUGACAGAAAGGAAUAUGAGUCUUAUUCCUCAACCUCCGUGGUUCUUUUGCGGUAGCCUUUUUAUUUCGACUGUCGGAAUCAUUCAUAAUAUGUAAUUAGUUGGAUUAUCGUAUACCUCGUCCCAUGUGGUAGAGUAGAGUACUAGAUUACUGAUGUUAUUCGUUGUGUUGAAUACAUGCUUCAGUGAUCGUGAUGAUUUUCUUCUUGCAUGCGUUCAACGAUUAUAAACAGAGAAUGCUAAUACAUUCAUGGGAAAUAUUAACGCAUCUUGCAUUGCGUGCCAGGUGGAGUACUACUUUAGUGAUGCGAACCUCUCAACAGACACCUACCUCAUGAAGUUUGUGAAGAAGGAUGCAGAGGGCUUUGGUAUGUGAUUCUUAUCGGUUUGUUACUUGUAGUGUUAAUCACAGCGUCUUUAUGGAUGUAUUUUUGCCUCUUCAGAGAGAAUUCUUUUGUCGUUUUUAGCCUUUGCCGUCCCUGGGGGAUGAGAUUUCUAGUGAUACUAAGAAUUGGUUGGUGGUCACAGUCCCAAUUCCUGUGGUGGCGUCAUUCAGGAAGAUCAAGAACCUGAUGAAGAAUCACGGAGUUGUGGCAGCUGCGUUGCGAAAGUCGACUCGGUUGGUGAGUGCAUGAUUGUCCUAAUAGUUUUGAAACAUAAUCUUCAUUGUUUGUUUGUUAACAAUAUUUAACGAGGUGUGCUAUCGGAAGGACUUCAGUUGGAUAUUAACUAUGUGAAUCACAGUUUUAUAUUAUUUCAUGGUUGCGUUUAUGAAUUUGCGUCAUUGCGCCUUCUGUUUCGAAGAAAUUAGAAACUUCGCCAACAUUUCAUUCACAUGGUAAACAUGCUGGUUGAAUCAGGUUCUAAGCGAGGAUGGGAAAAAGGUCCGGCGAGCUCUCCCACUUCCAGAUGUUGAUUCAGAGGAAGUGCAGGUAUGAGUUUUAUUUAUUUAUUUAUUUUAUCGAUUCUCUAACUUACUCAUUAUCUCGUAAUUUAUUCACCUAGUUUUUAUACCUCGAGGUUGUCGGCAGUAUGUGAUGUCACACUUAUCAUGGUAGCGUGGCAGACUAUCAUUUUUCACAUCCGAAAUUAUUUCUCGUCAACUUCUCUCACCCCCCUUGGGUUUUUUUUUUUUUUUUUUUUUUUUUUUUUUUUUCAGUGAUAACUUCGUUUCACUGCUGGGUUUUCUGAUAAUCUGUUUUGGCGUAUUUGAGCAGGCACGCACUGUCGUAGCUGAGAACUUGCCUGAGGAGCACUCCAUUGAAAGCAUGGAACAGUUGUUUGGUAAAGUGGGCACUGUCAAGUUGGUUCGGAUCUGUUCACCAGAUGCUGCCAUUGGGACCCAUGGAGCUGGAGGGAGGCAUACGAAGAGUGACAUGCUAGUUAGCAAUAAGGUGAGGGCUUACUAUGUACUAACACCGAUUGCAAUUUGAACCUUGCUCUUGUUAUUGAAAUGUUCGCAUGCACUAAUUUGAUGUAAAUGUUACAUGAAUAGAGAACAUCAUAACAGGAGAGACCAUGGGCGUUGUAGUUAGAUUUGUUUAAAAUCUAGGCCGCUCUUGGACGUGAGUAGGUACAUGACAGAUGAUUAACUUCUGUUACAGUUGCACGCAUUGGUGGAAUACGAGACCGUGGAGCUUGCUGAGAAAGCUGUAAGUAUUGAUAUGCUAAAAGUUUUCUAAUCCUCGCAUACGUGCUUUUCGUUUAACAUAUAUUCAUGAAACUCUAGAAAACCGUCUUGGCUUUUGAACAAAACUCUCCACAAACGGACUCGUAAGUAUCAUGAACUGAAUCAGAUUCCUGUACUAAGUUUGCGAGGGGUCAAAGCGCUUGCAGUCGGGCGCGAAUGCUUACAAGGUAACUUCUUCUGCCCAGGUGACUGAGCUGACAGAUGAGAGAAACUGGAGAAGUGGACUACGUGUUCGUUUGCUGCUGAAACGUCAGGUAAUUGCGUUCAAAUUUCCUAUAGCUCAACUAAGUACAAUGGGAGUCUUUGUGUUGCCACUGUAGCAGUACAUGAUACAGUCAUGUAUACCUUACAUUUUGGAUAAUUGCGGUGCUUUCCAAGUUCGACUGUGCGUCGAAUAUAUCUAUUCCCCGGUCGACAAGCUUUUGAGUAUUGCACGCUGAAGGUCCUGAUGGGAGAUGUGUGCGUGUGCACAGUUUCAGAACAAACAAAAUUACCAGCAGGCCCCUCAUCAGAGGACGCGCAAACCAAGUAUGGACGGCAUCGAUCUCGUGAUGGAUGAUGAAGACGGUGACAAGGCAGAGAAGGACGCCGACAGAUCUCGCGACAAGGCUGGUGGGGAAUCAACAUGCCACAACCAUCACGCAGAUCGUGGCGACGAGGUUAUGGUGAGUUGUGUGAGCUACGCGAUGUGCGGAUUAGAGUGGGCGUUUGUCCUUUCGUGGCGGGUGGUGGUUUGGUAGUUGCGGGAGGCAGUGUGUUGGUGUGCGGGGAUAGUGGGAGAAUGGGUGGGAGGGGAAAACGUGAGAGGAUGUUGAGGAGAUAGGUGUGUUGGUGUGCAUGGUUGCAGGGUGAGGGCGGAGAUCAUGUGAACAAGAAGGGAAGAGGUCGAGGCCGAGGUGGGAGAACGGGUGGAGGUGGUCGGGGUCGCGGUCAGCAGUUUUACAACACGCACGUGGGGACACCACCUCGGGACGGUUUACAUGUGGUGAGCGAGAUGAUAGGAAAGCCGCCGCCAGGACCUCGCAUGCCGGAUGGGACACGAGGGUUCGCGAUAGGCAGGGGCAGGAUGGUGAGCGCGAUGAGCAGCUGUGAAGAGCGUGGCGUAGCAGUGUAGGUGGUGAAUGUGGAUGUAGGUAUUGGAAAGUGGAGCAGUGUGGCUCCGAGGGAAUAUGAUGUGAUUAUGGUGAAGUGGGUGUAGUGUAUGCGAUGCAGUGUGGGAUGUCUGAAUGCAUGGGAUGGGAUGGGAUGGGAUUGAGUGUUCGAUGUGCAGGGAUGAGAGAGUGGGUUUGGGGGGGGGGGUUGUGUGCGUGUGUGCAAUGUAGUUGUACGGACGAGCAGACUUGAAAUUUCUAGAACGGAAUGAAGUCGACAUACGCAGACUAGGAUAGUUUCAGCGAAAACUGGCUACGUUAUGACCAAAGAAUUGCAUGCCGGGUAGUUUAGGUUGGGAUUUUGUAGGAUCGGUUUGUGUUGAUGUUGGUAAUGUGUGAAGUGUGUGUUCAACUUUGCAUGGGUGAAUGGAGGUUAUGUCGUCCUGGUGAAUGACACUGAAUGUGAAAUGUUUGAAAAGGAAUCUCUUGCAUGGUGCAUCAAAGAAUUAGUAAGAUCCAAACAUGAAGUGGAUGUCAGGUCCUAGACCAACGUCUUUUGCAACCAAAUCGUAUUUCUGUUCUGAAAUAAUUUUAGAAUUGUAAAUAAUAGUAAAACAAAAGUUGUGUGAGAACAGAGCUAAACAACAAGUUUCUUAGAUAUUUGCUUUGAUAUCUGCACUCCAAGCGGAACUAUUUGUGAAUCGUAUGUAGUUGAGACUGCGGCACUUGAUUAGCGGAGUUUUUCAGUAAUCUGGUGAAUCAUGAAGCUCUAUUACAUAAGUUUUUGUAGUACGAUUACUGUGUGGCAGAAAAACUGCGCCGACUAUAAUCGUAAUAAUUGAUCUAGAAGUCCAUUAUUGAAAUAUUUGCAAUGAACAUAAUUAUGUAGACAUUGACCAUGAAAUUUAUAAAAGUCACCCUUUGAAGGUAGUUGAAAGAAGUUAUUCUAAAUUAUGGUGUCAAUGUUUGACGAAAAUGAAAUGUGAAGCACUGAAAUAUGAUUCUCUCUCUUUAUUUAUCUUUCAUACAAAACAAUUCAUGAUAGACAAAUAUAAGAGAUAAAUAAGAGGAGACAAAAACUCUCUCUAAUUGGGUGCAUGCAUUAU